UGAUCUUGAAAGGCCCUGAAAGAUAACAGAAACGCAAACUAAUGACAGGAAAAGAAUAUCAAGUAGAACAGGAUAGGAAAAAAUACAACUCUUUUGAAUGCAUGAAGAGAGAGCCAUGCAGCUAGACAGGCAGGAGGGUAAGGUUGUAACGGUGAACAGAAGCAUUCUAACAACUUUAACUAAAAGUAAAGGGCAGACCCAGUGCCAGAGGCCCACAUGAGUGGAGUUGAGGAAGGGAUAAACAGAAGCAAGCCUUACCACUGCAAAUGCACGGAGGCUGCUUUGAACCCGUGACCUAUGAUUUUAAUAAGACAGCUCCCACCACUGCAACAGGCCUACCCUUGUAACUUCAACUAAAAGUAAUUUUAUAAAUCCAAACAAUAGUAGUCUUCAUUUACAGUAUUUAAACUAUAUAAGAAAGUUGUUUCCAGCAAGUCAAAGACAUGAAAAUGCAGAUAGUCCAACAGUCUAUUUUUUAACCAUGUGACAGUGCCAUCAAAGAACCAAUGCUUAGGCAUCACGUGUGUAUGAGGGCGCAAAUGCACUAUAAGGUCAAGAGCUGUUGCGUAUGAUGCUACUAUGAGCCUUGAGGGUAGGGCUCCAGCAAAUAAAAAAACACAGAAAUCAUCAUCCGUUUCUCUCUCAGCUCUCGCAUUCUGGUGGCCGAGACUCUACCUUCCUCACAAAUAUUUAUUUGCUGAAGCCAGGUCUUAGGUAAGGUUAUAAACUUUCUGGGCCAAGACCCUUCUUUGGACCUCGUCUGCAAUGUAUAAGGACUGGUUUGGUGACAAGGGAAUUGGAGGGGGAGGAAAUCCCUUGCUAUUCAAUUUUGAAUAGCAUGAAAUUUCCUCCCCUCCAAUUCCCUUGUCACCAAAACCUGGAUGCCCUUAUAUCACGCAUGCAGGUCCCAUAGUCCAGACUGAAUUCGGAUUCUUUAAAAACUCAACUAUAAUGUGCAGUUGCAAGACAAUCACACGUCGUCACACCAGACUCUACAAAUAAUAUAGUUCACAGAUUGAGCCAACCAGCGCGUAAACAUUUACAUCUAUCUUUCAACUCAAAACUUAUGCUGUGAUCAGAGGCAGCGAACCAAGCGUGGCUCACCAGAGAUAAGGAGCAGGCCGGACUUGAGCUGCUUGAGAAACACCACUCUCUUCCCCAUGAAGCGCCCUGCGAGGAGGAUCAGCACCGUCCCAGGCGUGAUGCUCGACCUGCACAAAAGAAUGGCAAGUGGAAUCAAAUCUCCAAGCAAAAUAAAUACGAACACCACGCGGGCUGCGACUUGAAGGAAUGGCUUGGGCACCUGAGCUUGGUAGGCUUAGGCUUGCGGGUGCUGGGAACGCGGGGCUUGACGUCGUCGGCAGGGUAGAACUUGGGUUCCACGGCGGCGGCGGCCUUGUCGGCCUUGGGGAAGGCGCCGCCGUUCUUGGCCUUGAUGGCCCACAGCCCACGGCGAUGGUACGCGUGCGACCGCGAAGCGCGCUUGAUGCCCGUCGACAGCUUCGACGUCGGCGCCAUUGGAUCGAAAUGGUACGAGGCACAGCUUCGGAUCGGGACUGGGGGCGGCGGGCGAAAAAUGGAAGCGACGGUUUGGUCACGGCAUAUAUAUCUGUGCGGCGGCUUACAGGUGGAAACCCUAGGUCGUCGGGCUCCUCCGCGUGUAGUAGUGGGCCUAAUUGUUGAGGCCCAUGCACCUCACGAAAUAUUUUCCGUUCAAAAAAACUAUUUUGUCUUCAUCAACUAUCACAAAAGUUUAAUUGUUUCUUCUUCAACUAUAAAAUUAAUACAACGCGUUCCUUCUCUAUCUCUAUCUCUACCCUUUAAAUCAUUCUUUAAAGCACGAAAGUUUCAUGUAUCCUAUGUUACACGCAAAACAUGUAGUUCUAUUUUUCUCCAACAUGUCAUAAGCUAACAGCCCUAAAGGUCUUAUCUCUUUCAUACGCAACUAACCUAAGAUAAGACUCGUAUCACCAUAGACGAUAUCGAGCAAGUUAUCCUUCUGGCCUCUGACUCGCCAACCAGAUAGACUCUUCUACAUUGUCAUCUCCUUCGUGCGAGGAAACCACCUCCGGACGUCAAGAACAAAAAAAAGGUUAAAUCUAAAUUCAACUGCACUCCAUUUAACUAUUCUUGUAUUUCUCACAACUCGAAUGUCCAAUUGCUUUCUAUUCCUCUUGGCAAACCUCCUCGUUUUGAUGGAGAGGAUUAUUCUUGGUGGAGCCAUAAAAUGUGUAGUCAUCUUUUUUUCUCUCCAUCCUAGCAUUUGGGAUAUGGUAGAAAAUGGAAUGCAAAUACCAGAUAUUGAUGAUGAGAUUUUUGAUGAUAUAGAAGUAGAAUAAUUAAUUCAUAGAAAUUCCCAGGCUACCACUGUUUUGCUAGCUUCUCUAUGCAGAGAAGAAUACAACAAGGUAAAUGGCUUGGAGAAUGCCAAAGAAAUCUGGGAUACAUUGAAGAUCUUGCAUGAAGGAAACUUGAUUACCAAAGUAACCAAGAUGGAGCUCUUCGAGGGUGAACUUGGGAGGUUUGCCAUGAAGAAGGGCGAAGGGCCACAAGAAAUGUACAACAUGCUCAAGCCCCUAGUGAACCAAGUGCAGAACUAAGGAAGGAAGAGAUGGAUGGAUCAUGAAGUUGGUGGACUCAUGUUGAGGUCAUUUAAUGUUAAAGAUCCUACUCUUAUUUCUUUAAUCCGUGAGAACCCCAGGUACACUAAGAUGGUGCCCGAGGAGGUGUUUGGAAAAUUUGUUAGCCAUCAAAUGGUGGUUAAAGAUGCCAAGUACACCGACGACAUCGCCAAUGGGGACACCCCUCCAAUGAAUCGCAAGUCAUUGCUUUCAAAGAAAUGAAUGAUAGGGAGGCGAUCCUCAACAAGGUGGCUCAAGUUGAGGCAGCCGGCCUCAACGAUGAGGAUAUGGCCAUCAUAAAGCGCUUCAAGAGCGCAUUAAAGGGGCACAAGAGCUACAAUAACAACAAGUCAAAGGGGAAACGUGCAUGCUUCAAAUGUGGUAAGAUUGGUCAUUUUAUUGCUAAAUGUCUAGAUUAUGAAAGUGAUGACUAGGAAAAGGCAAAGAAGGGAGAAGAUGGAAAAGAAGAAGUUCUACAAGAAAAAGAAGGGUGAGGCGCAUAUUGGAAAGGAGUGGGACUCAAGCUGCAACUCCUCCGACAACGAAGGACUCGCCACCAUUGCCUUCGACAAGUCAUCACUCUUCCCCAACGAACGACAUACAUGCUUGAUGGCAAAGGAGAAAAAGGUAUAUCCUAGAUCAAUGCCAAAGUAUAUUUUCUCUAGUGAUGAAGAAUCUAGUGGUGAUGAGGAAGAUUAUAGCAUGUUGUUUAAGGGCCUUGAUAGCUUUAAGGUUGAUAAAAUUAAUGAAUUAAUUGAUUCCCUAAAUGAGAAGGAUAGACUUUUAGAAAAACAAGAUCUCAUUUAUGUGGAAUAUUAUAAAUUUGUUAGUGUAGAAAAGGCCCUUGCUCUUGAACUUGAAAAGAAUAAAAAUUUGACUAAAGAGUUUGAUGAUUGUCACUCUUUCAUUUCGUAUCUUAAAAUUGCUAAUGAAGAAUUGAAUGAUAUUAGUGAAGUUGAAUGAGUGACAUGCAUCUUCAUCCCUCAAGCAUGUCUCUAUUUUAAAUAGAUGUAGGGAUGUAGAUGUUCAUGUCAUUCUAAUGUUGCUAAGAUUGCUAGUUUGAAUGAUGAGAUUGCAAAAUUAAAUGCUCAAACUAAAAUUUGCAAUGAUGAGCUAAAGAAUAUUAAAUUUUCUAGGGAAGCUUUUGUAAAUGGUAGGAAUCCUCGGAUCAAGGAUGGUAUUGGCUUCCAAAAGGGAGCCAAAGACCAAUACGAGCCAAAACUUGUUUUGUAGGUUUAUGCAUCCGGGGGCACAAGCUGGGUCAUUCAUAGAGGAACCACAAACCACAUGAAGGGUGGGGAACACAUGUUCUCAUCCUAUGUCAAGAACAAGGAUUCCCAAGAUGUGAUUAUCUUUGGAGAUGGGAAUCAAGUGAAAGUAAAGGGUUUAGGUAAAAUUGGAAUCGCCACUGAGCACUUUAUCUCUAAUAUAUUUUUGGUUGAUUCAUUAGACUAUAAUCUACUUUCCAUUAGCCAAUUAUGAUCUAUUGGAUAUAAUUGUUUAUUUACCAAUGUCAAUGUUAUGGUCUUUAGAAGGAAUGAUGGUUCAAUUGCAUUUAAAGGUGUAUUAAAGGGAAAACUUUAUCUAGUAAAUUUUUCGAAUGAUAAUGUACAACUUGAUGCAUGUUUAAUUGCAAAGAUCAACGUGGGUUGGCUAUGGCAUCGUCGCCUAGCACAUGUUGGGAUGAAGAAUUGUAACACCCUGUAUUUCAUGGUAUAAAAUUUCUUCUUUGAUAUCCACCAAAUUCAGGUGUUACCUUCGUUCUCCUUUUCCUCUCUGCUCCUUUCCCUACCUUUUCAAAGUAAUAGAGGGACUUAUUUUGAAUUCAUGUAUCAAUAAAACCCUAAGGAAGCUUCAAUUGAUGUUGGUUGAUGGAGAAACAUGGAGUGCAUCCAUUUAAUUCAAGAACCGCGCUCGAGUAUGACUUCAAAUAGAGAGAUAAAGAAAAGAGAAAAGAAGAAAGAAAAGAACCCCCCCUCCCCGGUGCCGCCUAGCCGCGCCAGCGGCCCAACUGCCCCACCCCUCCCCCAUGCGUUGCUUGGCCCAGCGUGCCUUCUACCCGCGUCGGCCUCUCCCAUGGCCCAACCCGAAUUCUCCUCCCCCGCCGGCCCAGCGACCCACACGGCCCACUCCCCCCCCCCCCCCCCCCCCCACACGCACCCCCACCCUAGCCCACGGCGCAAGCGCUCGCCCAUCCGUGCUCUCGGCCGCUGUAGCCCCAGACCCACGUGUCAGGGCACUACUUUUCUUCUCUUGUUCGCCUUCACCAACUGAUUUCGAGCCGUCCGCGUCCAUCCCGUGCCAGGAGCUGCUACAGCCUGUGGCCCGUAUGUCAGGGUGUCAUCCCCAACUACCCAGUGCAUCCCCAGCCAGUUGGAUCCCAAGCCACAUCGUGGGUGCGCCCGAAGCGGUAACCGACUCCACGAUCUCAUGCGCCGCCUACAGAAAGCCCUCGGCCACCCGUGUUGUUCCUCGAUCUCCUCCCUUGCCUCAUCUCAUUUCUUCCCCCAUGCACAACAUUGCAGCGCGCACCUAGCCACUGUCAUGUGCCUCGCCGGACCACGGGUCGUCGAUGCCGCUAGCCAAGCAGCUUGCGCCAUGUAGUUUGUCGCUGGAGCCGGAGCUCGCCUCGCCAUGACUGGAACCAUCGUCGUCGUUCGUGCGCCGCCCCGUCGGUCGUCGUCACCGAGCUCGCCAUUGCAGAAGUGAGCCUCAGUCGUUCUCUUGCUCCUCACCCCUCUCUUCUUCUUCCCUGUGUGAGGCCAUGGCCAGUCACCACGCCGAGCCCCACCCGUUCUCGCCACGCCCCAUGGCGCAGCGUGCCCCACUCCUCCCAUGCGCCCCUCCGUGGCCACGCUUGCUAGUUGGCAAGGCCGCCCCUACCUACCGGUCGAGCCCCGUCCCCUUUCCCUGUGUACUUGCGUCGUGCUAUGUUCGUACAUGUGCCCUCGCCAGCCAUGGAGUCGUAGCAGCGCGAGCUCCGUUUGGCCCCUACAUCGUGACUCCCCAUGUUAUUGUAACCUACCCCUCGCUAUUGCUUGGCCUCGGCACAACCAAACAUAGCGUCAGCUAGGGAUGAAAACGGUCAGAAACAAUAUUUAUUCGGUAACCAGUUUUUUGGUCAUUUUUCUUUGAUUGCGAAUAAAUAGGAUAUAGAAUCUACUAUACAAAUUUGUAUUCUUGUUGUUAACAUUGAGCUUGUAAAGAUUCAUAAAAAGUAAACCUCAAAUUCAUCCUAUAUUUUCUCAAAUGAUAGAUAUAAAAUUCGGUAUGGAUUCGAAAACAAAUUCGGUAAUUUUUUCACAUUUUUUGUUGUAGGGAGCAAAUAAUACAUAAAACAAUUUAUGUAAUAUUUUAUUCUUAUUUGUAAUAAUAUGCUUAAUAACAUAAGAAAAGAUCAACAUCAAAUUUUAUGCAUACCUAUUUUAAAAUAUUAACUUUGUGCUAAUAGUUAGGAUUACCACUUUCAUCCCCCCGUCAGCACGCGCACCAGGGAGCUAGCCGAUGGCUGAGGCACUCCCUACGAUGACCCCUUCGGUCAUGCCCAUAGUCGUAGCCCCGUGCGUUGCCACGAUCGCAGUUGCCCGUCUGCGUCGAAGAUGGAACUCAUCUGCCCCGCUCUACCCUUGUCUACUCCUAAAUGUCACUCGUCUACCCCUCGUCUACCCCUUGCACGUUCGCAUCGUUCAUGUGCGUCGCACAGCUGGUCGCGUGUGUUGUUUGCACGUAGUCAGAGCUGUCGCGCACGUCGCAUGAGUUGUCACACCCGGAUUUAAGGGCAAAUCCAUCCGCGAAUCAAAUGUGUGUUAGGAUCAAGUCUCACACAUAUGAUGACUCAUGGUAUAGAAACGAAUGUCAUAUCUUUACUAUAUAAUAGGAGUUAUGUACAAAAUAACUAAAUAAUUACAUCAUACAAAGACAAUGAUCCGACAACCAUAGUUGAUUGGGAGAUGACGGCCUAGAUCUCUCACGAACGCAUCGUGGCAUCCUUCAUGCUCCUUAUCCUGCAGUACAUGUUCUUGACCUAGGGGAUCUAAGUACAACAAGGGUGAGCUCAUAUACGUUCAUCGCUCAACAAGUUGUGGAGAAUAAUGUGCAUGAGCUCACUUAUGGUGGGGGCUCAUGUGAAGUGUAAGGCUUACCAAAGGAGAUGGUUAAAGUUGAUCGUUGCUUUUAAAGUUGGUCAAAGUUUUAUUAGCAGUUACUAAGUAUAAGUAGACACCAACCCAAUCAAAUAAGGUAUCACAAUUAAUAAUGUAACAUCCCAGUUUUGAUCCCCAGGUUAGAAACCCUAAACUCCUAACCCCCCCUUAAUUCCUCCUAAGACCCCAUCUCAUGAAGCAUUUUAUUCAUCAUAUGCAUACACCAUAAUUGCUAGUAGCACUUCACAUAGAGUAUUUCAUUUUGGCACCCAAGAAAUUUAGAUGAAUAUUUGUUUGGAGAAGAAAAAGGGAUUUAGGAAAAAGAAAUAGAAAAAGAAAAAAGGAAAAUCCCUUCUCCCCCCUCUCGGCUAGGCUGGAUCCGGCCCAAGCUUUUUUUCCCCUCCCUCUCGUGCGCCCACGCUCCUCCCCCACCUCAUGGCCCACGCAGCCCAUCUCCCUCGUGCCACGCUCUCCCCUGACAGCCCGGCCCCACCCAUCAGCCACGCUCGCCCUUUCUCCCUCGCACCCGCUCUUUCGCUGACAGCCCGGCCCCGCUCGUCAGCCCCUUCCCCCUUGCCCGUGAUCGGCCAACGACACGAUCGUCGCCGGCCACCGCCCACCCCUUCUCCUCGCCAUUACUCACCCACUAGCACGAAUUUAGCGCCUUGCGUCCCCGCGCACUGUGGCCGAGCCGUCCCAUCGCCACCACUGUGCCGCCAUCAUCGCCGCCGUAGCAAGCUUCAUCGGUGCCCGCCACUUCCUCCUCCCCCCUCCCCGGUUGCCUAUAAAAGGACCGCCCCAAGCCCCUCAUCUCCUCGCACCAGCCUCGGCCACUCCUUCCCCCUCCCCUGGACCCAAUCGAGCUCAGCGCCGUCGUCUCUCCCCUCUCCAGUGAGCUUCUCCCUCCCCUCUCCGGUGGCUUAGAGUCUAAUCGAUGUAGUUCACGAGCUUCGCCACUUCGCCACAAGCACAGCGCGCCUUUCUCCCUCGUCUAUCGCGCCCAGUAGCCUCGCCAGCAACCCCACCGCCGCGGAAGCCCGCCACCUCACCAUGGACCCGCCAUCCCGAGUGUCCAUCGACCAAAUUAACCCCACCACCAUGACCCCCUACCCCUAGCCACACUAUCCCACCUCCCCGACCACCCGGAACCGGAACCACGGCGGAGAACCAUCGUGGAACCUCGUCGACGGUCGGUUUUUCCCGACCCUAGCCGAUUCGCCCCCUCUCUCGUCAGACUGCCCGACGUCGUCGGCUCUUCCCCUCUCUCUGACGCGUGGGCCCGCGCUCACAGCGUCCGCCCGUGCCGUCUCCCCUCCUCGUGGGUCGUCUGGGCUCAUUCGCCCGCGGCGCCGCGCUGGGCCGAAACCCCCCUCGCCCCUGGCCCAGCUAACCGAGAAUUCCUUCUCCUUUUUCCUUUUCUCUUUUUCUUUUCCUAUUUUCUUAUAUAUAUGUAUAUAUGCUGAUAUUUUAUGCACCAAAAAAAUAGUCCAAAUAUUCCUUAAGUCACAAAAUAAUAACUUGACACACUUUAUUAGCCAACAAUGUUUGAUGUGCUAUUUUUUCCUGUUUUUGCGAGGCGAAGAGGGGCCCGACCCUCCGAAAUUCAUAGCUCCGGAAGACGGGCAGGAGCCCGACCUCUCAGAAAUAGAUCUUUUGUGCCAAGAGAACUUCGACGAAGGCAUGUCCAUUCUCCCCUUGAUGCAUAAAUUACCUACUCUUUCUACCACUUCCUAAGCCGGGAAUAUGGGUUGGGUUCUAUGCAUUGUGAGUGAGUGUUGGCCUGCAUUAAAGAAUAUUUUUUGGGUACAAAAUAUGGGUUGAGGCAUUGGUGGAUUUCUAAAGAGAGAAAUGUUUUCAAUAAAGUAUAUGAUGAAGGGUAUUCACCCUUAUCACCAAUUGAGUGGGAUGAUUAGGGACUCCCUGGUUUAGGGGAGGGCCUCAGGUGUUGGCUCAGCCGGGUUAGGUGUGAGCAUGAAGGAUCGUCCCCUCAUAUAAGGACUGGUUUGUCAUCCUUCACUACCUGUACUCAUGACAAGUACAACCACUCGGGACUGUAUGGGCAGUCACUCAAUCUGAACUUGUACGGUCCGAACCCCAGGGUUAUGAUGGCUGGGGAGCACCGAGAGGAUUAGGAAGGGGAAUGUUUUGUCCGGUUUGGGGCAUGGUGGUGGCCUGACUCCUUCCGGUAUAAUCGUUAAGGUAAGGACGUGCAAGGAAGGAAAGAGAUUCGGAUUCGGGUCUCAUUGGCCAUGAGACCGCAGAGCCGGGCUAGUGGGUAAAGUGUACACCUCUGCGUAGAGUUUGAAACCUAUUUGAAUAGUCUGUGUCCACUGGUAUGGACGAGUCUGGUGUGGUAUGGCAAUUAGUGUUUUGAUCUUCAUAAAUAGGGAAGUAUGUGUGGGUGCUUUUGGAAAUAAAAAUAAUACCACGGGAGCGGGAAGCUCAGUGGUGGUUGAGUGUGAAAAUGUGCUACUUCUCUCUUUUGGGUAAAACCUCAAGUAUCACCUUUCUCUAAAAAAGAAAUGAGUGACUUCAACAACACCAUACCAAGCAUGUACUAUAUAGGCCACUCUCUCUUUACGGGCGGGAUGGGCUUGCGGAAUACCUAGUGUAUUCACCCAGAUUUAUUUAUGUUUUUCAGCAGCUGAAGACUUCUUUUGUGCUAUGUUUGACUAGAAGGGGGCUAUGUCUGCACCCAGUCCACCUGUGGCUUGGGCUAGAUGAUCUUCCACUGUGCUAUGUUCCCAGGCUCGCUAGAGCGUGUAUUUUGGUAAUGUAAUAACUAUUAUUUGAAAUUUUGUACUAUUUGAAGAAAUGAAUGUGUUUACUAGCCUCCUGGGACUAGUAAUUGUAUCACAUUUGAGUCCCAAAGGAUCAGGACGCUUCAUGUGGUAUUAGAGCACAUAGGACUGGCCGUAGACCGCAACCUUGACCUAAAAAGCUUUCCUCAAAAGGAAAGACCUCGUAACCUCUUAAAGAACCUUCUCUUCUUUCCUCGAUAUUAACAACCCUUCUUCUCUUGCUACCAUAUGGAAGGCUCCUUUGUCAUUAUGACAUCCUAUUGCUCGGAGGUGGAAGGAUUCCCUCACCUUCUUCGGAGCUGUGUGCUUCGUAUGGGGAUUCGCAAGAAGCCAGAGUAUGUCUGGAAAGAAUACCACGAGAACAGGAUUGAGAAAUGCUCUAUGGCAGUCUACCUGGGAGAAAGCCGAAACUACCCAAAUCACCCUCCCUUUCAGAUCACCGCUACUGGCCACCGCUUCCCAGAUACCUGCCAGAAUGCUACCCAAAACGCCCUCCGCUAGCUAUGCCAAAACUACAGCAGGGAGGUCUCUGAGACACCCCUUCACUACUUUCCACCUAGCAACAAAAAUACUCCUGCUUGGAGGAAAAGACUCCAGGCCUUGUUAGGGAGAGAUCCUAAUGAAGAUGACCCUACCAUAGUCUACAUGGCCGGAUAUCUCCACACCAUUGACAACCACUUUGAUGACCUUUUCUCCCACUGCACCCACCUAAACUCCUAUGUGGAAAGUCUAGAGCAGCAAAUCAAGGAAUUGAAGGAAGAAAAGGCGGCCCUUCAAGACAGUCUUGAGAUGGCAGAAGGCGAAGAAGCCAACACUCGUGAGGCAUACCGAACCCUAAAGAUGGAUUAUGCUAGGAGGCUGAAGAAGCUCGCCCUUGCAAAGAAGAUCUGAAAGCGUUUCAAGAGCCAGGGAUGCCAGACUGACUUGAGGGAAGAAGCCCCGCCAACACUACCCUCCUUAGGAAUAGGGAGCCUUUUCUGACAUCAAGGAAGUGUCCCUGGCUAGCCUUAAUGAUCUUAUCAGGGAAUUUGGGGACACCUUAGAAAACGCUCGUGCAUAGUGUAAUCUAUGGUGGUUGUAUGCAUGUAAUGAACUGGAGUGCUGAAUAAAAUAACGUGUUUGAAAAAAAAUAUGGCAUAUGCAUAAUAGUAAUCCUUUCUCCCCUCUGGCAAAUGGCCUCGGAUAAAACCACGCAUACUGCCUCAGGAAUUGGAGCAAGGUCUCCCCUAGGUGUCGAAGGAGAAGUCGGUGGAGAAGGGAGUGAGACCCACCUCCCCGCGCCUCCGGAACUGCCAUUAGACCUAGCCCAAGUUCUGGCCAACCAAACCCGACUCAUUGAGGUCCUCACUAGAAGCCUCGAGAACCAACACCCGAUUGGAGGAAGACCUCAGGAUAGAAUGGGAGAGUUCUUAAGGCACAAGCCUCCCACAUUCGCCGAGUCUAGCAACCCACUCGAUGCUCAUGACUGGCUGCGCACAGUAAAGAGGAAGUUAGAGGCCAUCGGAUGCCCCGAAAACCAGCAUGUUCACCUAGCUGCUCAUCAACUCUCCGGGAUGGCCCAAACCUGGUGGGAUACCUUCAGCGCUGCUGUAAGAGAUGCUACCUGGGCAUAAUUUGAAGCUCAAAGUCGCCUAGAGGGGGGUGAAUAGGCGAAACCUGAAAUUUAUAAACUUAAGCACACACUAAGGUCGGUGGUUACUGUUAGAAUUAAAUUCAAGUCGGAAAGAGAGGGGAAAACAAAUCAAACAAGAAUCAAGGCGAGUGAACACGGUGAUUUGUUUUACCGAGGUUCGGUUCCAAAGAACCUAUUCCCUGUUGAGGAGGUCACAAAGACCGGGUCUAUUUCAACCCUUUCCCUCUCUCAAACGGUCACUUAGAUCGAGUGAGCCUUCUUCCUUAAUCUCACGGGUCACUAAGACCCCACAAGGACCACCACACACUUAGUGUCUCUUGCCUCGCUUACCAAGCACUUGAGAAUAAGAGUAGGAAAAGAAAAAGGCCAAGCCAAGCAACAAGAGCAACAAAGAACACAAGAACACCCUCUCUCAAGUCCCUAAUGGAAUUGAGUGAAUUUGGAGGCUUAGAGAGGAUUCAAUCUAUUUGAUGUGUCUUGCAGUGGAGUCUUUUGCUCUUGUAUUGAAUGAGAUGUUUGGAAUGCUUGGAUAUAUAUGAAUGAGGUGGUUGGGAGUAUUUAUAGCCCCUAACCACUUCCAUAGCCAUUGGGGAGGCUACUGGCGAUGGGCGCACCGGACAGUCCGGUGCGCCACCGGAUAGGCACUGUUCCUUGUCUGGUGUGCUACCACGUCACCCAACCGUUAGGGUUCGGAGUUGGUCGACCGUUGGAGGCUUUGUCCUCUUGUGGCACCGGACAGUCUGGUGCCACACUGGACAGUCCGGUGCCCCUCUGACUUCCUGCUCUGACUUCUGCCGUGACAUUGUUCAUCUGUCAGAGUCGACCAUUGCACGCAGAUAGUCAUUGCUCUGCUGGCUCACUGGACAGUCCGGUGGCACACCGGACAGUGCGGUGGAUUAUAGCGGAGGGUGCCCUGGAAUUUCCGAGAGUGGCUGGUUAACAUCUGUACGGUCCUGGUGCACCGGACACUGUCCGGUGGCACAUCGGACAGUCCGGUGCGCCAAUUCUCAACACACUCAAGUUCUUUGCUCCGUUUCAAAUUGAGUCCCUAACUUGAUCCUUUUCUUGGUUUGUGUUGAACCUUAUGCACCUGUAAUAGAUGAUUUCUAGAAUAAACUAGUUAGUCCAUGUGUUUGUGUUGAUUAUCAACCACCAAAAUUAAUUAUAGGAAAUGGUUAACCCAAUUUCCCUUUCAAUCUCCCCCUUUUUGGUGAUUGAUGCCAACACAAACCAAAGCAAAUAUAAAGUGCAGAAAUGUAACUAGUUUGCAUUUUAGAUUGUGCAUAGGUUACUUGGCGUUAAACCAAUUGAAAAUUUUAACUAAGUAUGAAUGGAUUGCUUUUCUUUUAUUAACAUUUUGGACCACAUUUGCACCACUUGUUUUGUUUUUGCAAAUUCUUUUGGAAAAUCUUUUCCAAGUCUUUUUGCAAAUAGUCAAAGGUAUAUGAAUAAGAUUGCAAGAAGCAUUUUUAAGAUUUGAAAUUUCUCCCCUGUUUCAAAUGUUUUUCCUUUGAGUGGCGUUCUCUUGACUCUGAGACGAUUGGACUCAGGACAGACGACACCGUUGAGGCAGCAGCCAUGAAGUCUCUGACGACUUUCUGUGGCUACCAUCCCCUGGAGAUGGUGAUGCACCCCUUGGGACUCUUCCCUACUGAAAAGAAGGAUGAUCCCAUGUGGUGUAACCGCGUGAGCCAUGUGAAGGAUGUGUGGGCAAUGUAUCCUGACUUGGUUGGGAGGGUCACUGUUCAGUGCAUGAGUGCGCUGUACCGCCUUCAGGCCCUUCAGAGCGAUGCUAUGGCACUUCUUGCUAACACCGCUCAGACUGCCAAGCUCACUCUCGACAGUCGGGAAGAUUUUGUGGUCGACCUAUCCACGGAGUUGGUGGAAAAGGACCUGCAGGUGGAAAGGCUGAGCCAGCGCAUCACCACCUUGGAGCAGCAGGUGGAGAUCCGAGACAACACUAUUGAUGUCUUGGAGAACCAGCUUCACGAUGUGCAGAGGGAACUCGAAGAAGCAAACGACCACUUGGACAUGCACCACCUGGAGAUGGAGGCCAAUGAAGCAGGAAGCGAGGGAGAAGAGGCUCCCGAGGAGCUAGGACCAGCCCCUGGUGCCAAUGGGACUACCUCCGCGAUGCCUCCUUCACCCGUAUCCAGUGUCGCUUCCACCGCUCAGGGUUAAGCAGUCACUUCGACACUUUUAGGCGGAUAGAAACCUAUGUGAGCUUAGUAAUAUCACAUUUUGAACUAGGCUUAUGGGUACUUUCCCCUGAUUGAUGUAACCCUGUUGUUGGGGACCUUCGGCAUCCGAAGGUCCUCAAAAACAGGUUUUAACAGUAUUUCUGGAGUACAAUGUGUGAGCAGGUAUCCUCGGACAAGUCGGCGUUGCUGUAAACCGGAAUAAUACGAAGGUUGAUACAGAGCCGAAGGUGUGAGCAGGAAAGCUUCGGCGUGACAGCAAAGAGUGGAACCGACUUAAAGAUGAAAAGGCUAUUCAGACCUCGGUAGACUACUAUAGAAUUAUUAUCAAAUGUAAAGGGCAUGAAUGUAAUUUUGUAAGGGCUGUGUCCCGUGCCUAUAAAUAGGUGAACAGUAUCCCUGUACUGGACACACUGACUUGGCAUUCGCUUUUUGCGUCACACUUGUAUUGUCAUUUCCUUCCGAUGAAGGUACACAUGUGAUUCAAUAAUAUUUUUAUUUAUGCUCAAUAAUAAUGAUUGUUCAUGUGCUUAACUCGGGGUGGCCACUAAACCACACUCACAGAGCGAUCGGUUUGAGUUAAUACUAACUUAAACUGGCGCAGCACACUCGGCGCGCAUACAGUUACUCAUCUAGGGGCGGCCUCUAUGUCCCAUGAAGAAGUCUCGAAAUCAUCACGCAGCAUUUUACUUCUACAAAUUUAGAUACUGCUGAAUUCUAAACAAUAGGAGAAUAAUAGUAGCAUUCAAUAUUAAGCAGGUGUCCUCUAACAAAAUAUCCGAGCACGUUAACCGCGCGCUCAAAGCACGCAAUGUUUUUCUAUUUUGCAACAUUCUUCCUAGGAGCAGCCGACGAAGAAGGGCGACUUGAGGAAUCAGGAGCAGCGUUCACAUCAGCCCUUAUGUCGUCGGGGACAACCACACCAGGUCUCCCCAUCAAGAUCCGCCCUGCGCGAAUGGCUUUAUCCAUAGCUCUGUCGCGCUGGGCCCUCAGAGUAGCGGAAGUUUCUUCAGCAACCUUGAUAGCCAACUGAGCAGUCUCUAGCUCCUGGGCGAUGGACUUCUUGGAAGCACGCAGUUCCUUGAUGAUAGCAUCUUUAGCCGAUAUCAACUACCUGAGGCGAAUCACGUCGUCCAAGGAUUCCUGCAGUUUAUAACGAUGAUUGUCCAACUCCUCCAUGGUGAAGCGAUGACUCCUCUCCAAGAUGGUCAACGAGUUGCUAGAGUCACGAUAUAGCCUGUCGAGAUUGUCACGAGAAGUAACAAGGGCACGUUUUUCUUCCUGCAAACAAGAACCAGCUUCUUCAAACGUCAAGCAAGCAAUAAGAACACGACAAAACAAAGCCCAGAUUCACAGGUCACCUUUUCAGAAUCGAGCUGAGCACGGAGAGUAGAGUUCAGCAUGUUAGCAUCAUUCAGAGCAACAGAAACCUAGGCUAGCUCAGUCUGACUUUGGGAAUACUUUUCCUCAAGAUCAGAGCACCGCCGGACCAGUUCAGCCUGACUUUGAGAAUGUUUUUCUUGAAGAACAAAAUACUGCCGAGCCAUAUCUGGCGAGAGACAGUCAAGCAAAAGGGUUAAAGUAAGAAGCAGUUUAAUAAAGUAGCCAAAAGGAAGCAGAAGAGCUCUAACCAGCAUUCGCCGCCUCUAAGUCAGAAACACACUGCUGAAGCAGCACCGGAUUCCAAUGCGCCAGAGACAAAGCUCCUUCUGGAACAGAAGCACCCUGCAACUUCAGCUGACUAGCCAUCCCGUCCACCAAUGCCUAACAUUAAGAACAGAUGGGUAUAAAAACAACAGUUUAUCCAGUGUAAAAGUCAGACUAGGAUAAACCAUAAUACGUGGAGGUUGGAGAAGAAUGAGGGGACCCCCAAAUCGUGAGAGAUCAACUGAUGGCUCGGCGAUGGAUCACCACCUGGAGCAACUUGCAAUGAAUCAGCAGGAACCAAUUCAGUGUCAUCAGUAGAACUCAAAACUUUGUCGUCAGGUACGCUGGCCUCUAAAGCGACUCCUUGACUAAAGGCUUGGGCUACCACCAUGCAACCAGAGUGUGGAGGAGAAGACCCUAUGUGAACAUCCAUGGAAGUGCAAGAGGGAGAACCCGCUCGGACACCCUUGGGGGCUGGGUCAUAGUUUGCGCUACCCAUUCGAGCCGGAUCGUCUCCGGCAACACCCUCGGGGGCUGGGUUGCAGCUUGCGCUACCCAUCCGAGCCGAAUCAUCCCCGGCAACACCCUUGAGGGCUGGGUGAGCGCCAACACCAUCCUUGAGGGCCGAGUUCUCUGCAGCAGCCACUUCUAAGGCUGAAGGUCCCUCAGUCACUUCUAUGGGAGCGGGGCAAUCCAAGUCAGCUUCCUGACCCUCAAGACCGCGCUCCAAGGUCGAUGAGGCGCGGGACGCUGCCCGGGAUGACCCCAACCCGACGUCGAGCACAUCAGCACAAACAUCCAUCGCAUCACCAUCUGCCGGUUCUGAUAACAGAUCCUCUAGAACCAUAUCUUCAAGAGUUUGAUCAAAGUUCGCCAGAGAUAAUUCUUGUAGACCAAUGAGGGCAGACAAAGCAGGAGAAGGAACACCACUGCUUUCCCCACUAGCUAUGUAACGCCGACUGUUCUUCCGAAUCAGAGGGAUUUCAUCUUCUUCCUCCCCCUCAUCUUCAUCAGCAACACGGACAGCACACCCAUUGGGGUCAGCGUCAGAUGGGUCACACCCAUUGGGAUCAGCUCCUACCACGGCCACUGAACAGUCACAAAAAUUCAAUAUGCAUUUCAAACCGUCUGAAGACACGUCAGGCGGCUGACGCCGCUUCACGCAACACAACACCCAUUGGGACUCCAGUCAACUGCGCUGGCGAUAUGAUUACACCCGCGGUCACAUCAAAUUACUACUCAGAAGCAGUUUGCUAAAACACUCAGCGUACCAAGUUGUCCCUUGCCUACACCCAUUGGGGGGGACGCCCAGGAAUUAUCAGUAUUUUUUCAAAACUGUCACAUCCGUGCAGUGCAUGCAAUGAAUACCUCAAGACAAAAGUGAGAUAUCAGCAGGGAUCAAAGGAAAGCCAAAUAUAGCUGGUGAAGUACAAGUCUGAUCGACAAAAGCGACAUGAAGACUAGCCAGGGGACGUCUAUCGAACGUCCAAUCAGUUGCAGAUCAAAUAAAUUGCACUACCUAGCAAGAUAUGGGCAGAUCAUGAACUCGGCUUCAAAGACAAAAUAUAUGCUGACCUCUAAAGCAUAAUAUCAAUAACAUAAUGCUGACCUCUAAGACAUUCAACAAGAAGAGAGGGUGACCCUCAGAAAAAGGGCAUGAAAUGAAGACCUUCGAGUGGAUUAUUUUCAAAAAUCCACUCGAAGCUCGGGGGCUACACCCAUUGGGUGCACCUUUGGUGCACCCAAUGAAUCGUCAUCUCAGAUCAAGACAAUGCUGACCUCUAAAGCAUAGGGUAAGAUCAAAACAAGGCUGACCUCCGACGAAGUACAAGUGGAAAAUAAAAGUAGUUUCUGAUAAUACUCGAAGUGAAGACCUUCGAGUGGAUUGUCUGCAAAAAUCCACUCGAAGCUCGGGGGCUACACCCAUUGGGUGCACCCAAUGAAGUUCAAAGUCCUACAGUGCGAAAUGCUGACCUCCGAAGCGUGAGUCUGAGACAGAACAUCAAUUUUAGAGUGAUAAAAGCAGAAGGAGACAGUAAGAAAUCGUUUUUUACCGGAUUACCCAGAAAGCACUUCCUGUUACAAACAAAGACUGCAAGCUGGACCUAGGAUCUUUGGGCUGAUUAUUUCAAAAUCAACCCAAAGAUCGGGGGCUUGUGGGGGACAAAUAUCCCCCAGGUCCACUGGAAGGAUAAAAGACCUCACGAAAGCCCCAGGGGCCCAAUAAAUCGUAAGGUCAUCCCUUCGUGGGCCUGGGGAGGAACGACCGGUGAAGAAGAUUGACAUAAGGCCGGAUUGGUGCAAGCCUAGACGGCCCAAUGACUUCGAGCAAGUAAUCACAACAGUGACCCGAUCUUCCCGCGCUGGAACCCCGUGCAACGGAACCAAGCGAGGAUGGGUCAGCGGAACUAUAGGAAGAUAGGCUCAAUUGGUUCACUAUCAUUUAGGCGCAUACUGCUAUCAUAUAUGCAUGUAAUGCCCCAUGGUCGAGUAUAUAAGGCCUAGGGGGCACCCCUUCAGAAUGAUCGAACUCACUACUCAGCCAUCUACCCCAACUCUCUACGUUCCCCGCACUAGAGAGCUCCCUUGUAACCCGCCACAUAAAGCAUUCUCACCAGGACGUAGGGUGUUACGCAUCUCAAAGCGGCCCGAACCUGUACAUCAUUGUCCACUGUUCCUCGUGCACCCAGCACGAACCAUCGAGCUACAGUCGGUAACACCGUCCUACUCCUAAAAAACACCUUGAGGGGCAACCCCGGGUGCGCGGUCGGACUAAAAACACCGACAGUACCAAAGCCCAAACUUAGGAGUGUAAACUAAGUAUCUCAUGAUUCUCUUUACGGAACUAAGGUGAACUUCCUUAGGAUUUGCCUGAAAUCUUGCACACAUGCAUACAGAAAGCAUAAUGUCCAGUCGAGAUGCACAUAAGUAGAGUAAAGAUCCUAUCAUCGACCGAUAUACCUUUUGAUCUACGGAUUUACCUCCCAUGUCGAGGUCGAGAUGCCCAUUGGUUCCCAUGGGUGUCUUGAUGGGUUUGUCAUCCUUCAUUCCAAACUUCUUAAGUAUGUCUUGAAUGUACUUUGUUUGGCUGAUGAAGGUGCCCUCUUGGAGUUGCUUGAUUUGAAAUCCAAGAAAAUACUUCAAAUCCCCCAUCAUAGACAUCUCAAAUUUUUGAAUCAUGAUCCUACUAAACUCUUCACAAGUAGACUUGUUAGUAGACCCAAAUAUAAUAUCAUCAACAUAAAUUUGGCAUAUAAACAAGUCUUUUGCAAUAGUUUUAGUAAAGAGAGUAGGAUCGGCUUUACCGACUUUGAAGCCAUUAGUGAUAAGAAAAUCUCGCAGGCAUUCAUACCAUGCUCUUGGGGCUUGCUUGAGCCCAUAAAGCGCCUUUGAGAGUCUAUAAACAUGGUUAGGGUACUCACUAUCUACAAAGUCGGGAGGUUGCUCAACAUAGACCUCUUCCUUUAUGGGUCCAUUGAGGAAGGCACUUUUCACGUCCAUUUGAUAGAGCUUGAAGCCAUGGUAAGUAGCAUAGGCAAGUAAUAUUUGAAUUGACUCAAGCCUAGCUACGGGUGCAUAAGUUUCAUCAAAAUCCAAACCUUCGACUUGUGAAUAACCUUUGGCCACAAGUCGGGCUUUGUUCCUUGUCACCACACCAUGCUCAUCUUGAUUGUUGCGGAAUACCCAUUUGGUACCUAAAACAUUUUGGUUAGGACAUGGAACUAAAUGCCAUACCUUAUUCCUUGUGAAAUUGCUGAGCUCCUCUUGCAUAGCCAGCACCCAAUCCAGAUCUCUUAGUGCAUCCUCUACCCUUUAUGGCUCAAUAGAGGAAACAAAAGAGUAAUGUUCACAGAAAUGAGCAACUCGAGAUGUAGUAGUUACCCCCUUAUGAAUGUCACCAAGAAUGGAGUUGACGGGGUGAUCUCGUUGAAUUGCUUGUUGGACUCUUGGGUGUGGCAGUCUUUUAUCCUGAAUUUCUUGAUCAUCUUCCUUGUCUUCAUUAUCUUCAUCUCCCCCUUGAUCAUUGUUCUCCUCUUGAGGUGGCUCAUCUUCUUGGUCUUCAUCUUAAUUAUCUUGAGCCUGAUCCUCAUCUUGAGUUGGUGGAGAUGCUUGGUUGGAAGAUGACGGUUGAUCUUGUGUUUGUGGAGGCUCUUCGGAUUCCUUAGGACACACAUCCCGGAUGGACAUGUUCGUUAGCGCGACGCAUGGAGCCUCUUCAUCAUCUAAUUCAUCAAGAUCAACUUGCUCCACUUGGUAGCCAUUAGUCUCAUCAAACACAAUGUCACAAGAAACCUCAUCCAAACCAGUGGAUUUGUUGAAGACUCUAUAUGCCCUUGUGUUUGAGUCAUAACCAAGUAAAAAGCCUUCUACAGCCUUAGGAGUAAAUUUAUAUUUUUACCUCUUUUAAUAAGAAUAAAUCAUUUACUCCCAAAGACUCUAAAAUAUGAAACAUUGGGCUUUUUACCAGUGAGGAGUUCAUAUGAUGUCUUCUUGAGGAUUCGGUGAAGAUAUAACCGGUUGAUGGAGUAGCAGGCAGUGUUAAUCGCCUCAGCCCAAAACCGGUCCAGAGUCUUGUACUCAUCAAGCAUGGUCCUUGACAUGUCCAGCAGAGUUUUAUUCUUCCUCUCCACUACACCAUUUUGUUGAGGUGUGUAGGGAGAAGAGAACUCAUGCUUGAUGCCCUCCUCCUCAAGAAAACCUUCAAUUUGCGAAUUCUUGAACUUCGUCCCAUUAUCGCUUCUUAUCUUUUUGAUCCUUAAUCUGAACUCAUUUUGAGCCUGCCUUAAGAAUCCUUUUAAUGUAUCUUGGGUUUGUGAUUUUUCCAGCAAAAAGAACACCCAAGUGAAGCGAGAAUAAUCAUCCACAAUAACUAGAUAGUACUUACUCCCACCGAUGCUUAUGUAAGCGAUCGGGCCGAAUAGGUCCAUGUGGAGUAGCUCGAGCGGCCUGUUCGUCAUCAUUAUGUUUUUGUGUGGAUGAUGGACGCCAACUUGCUUCCCUGCUUGGCAUGCGCUAAAAACCCUGUCCUUCUCAAAAUGAACAUUGGUUAGUCCUAAAAUGUGCUCUCCCUUUAGAAGUUUGUGAAGAUUCUUCAUCCCAACAUGGGCAAGUCGGUGAUGCUAGAGCCAACCCAUAUUAGUCUUAGCAAUUAAGCAAGUGUCAAGUUCAGUUUUGUUAUCAUUAAAAUCAACUAAAUAUAGACGACCUUCUAACACUCCCUUAAAUGAUAUUGAAUCAUCACUUCUUCUAAAGACAGUAACACCUGUGUCAGUGAAUAGACAGUUGUAGCCCAUUUUACACAAUUGAGAAAUAGAAAACAAAUUGUAAUCUAAGGAAUCUACAAGAAAAACAUUGGAAAUAGAAUGGUCAGGAGAUAGCAAUUUUACCCAAACCUUGAUUUCCAUCCCUGAAUGUGAUAGCUCUUUGGGGAUCAUCAUUUUUCUCAUAGGAGGAGAACAUCCUUUUCUCCCCUGUCAUGUGGUUUGUGCACCCGCUAUCGAUUAUCCAACUUGAACAACCGGAUGCAUAGACCUACAAAAUAAUUUUAGGCCUUGUUCUUAGGUACCCAAACAGUCUUGGGUCCUUUGGUGUUAGAAACAAGCACCUUGGGUACAAAACACAAGUCUUUGGGCUCUUGUGUUUGUCCCGAACAUAUUUGGUAACUAUUUUGCCUGAUUUGUUAGUUAAAACAUAUGAUGCAUCAAAAGUCUUAAAAGAAACAUUAUGUUCAUUUGAUGCAGCAGGAAUUUUCUUUCUAGGUAUUUUAACAUGUGUGGUAUGCCUAGAGCUAGAAGCUUCAUUUUUAUACAUAAAUGCAUGGUGAGAAACAUUAUGAGGCUUCCUAGCAUGAAUCUUCAUAAUCUUAUGUUCGGGAUAGUUAGCAGGAUAUAAAAUGUAACCCUCACUAUCCUAAACCAUGGGAGCCUUACCCUUAACAAAAUUAGAUAAUUUCUUAGGGGCAUUAAGCUUGACAUUGCUCCCCUGUUGGAAACCAAUGCCAUCCUUAAUGCCAGGGCAUCUCCCAUUAUAAAGCAUACUACGAGCAAAUUUAAAAUUUUCAUUUUCGAGCUCAUGCUCGGCAAUUUUAGCAGUUAAUUUAGCUAUGUGAUCAUUUUGUUGUUUAAUCAUGGCAAGGUGAUCAUCCAUAGCUUCUACAUUAACAUCUCUACAUCUAGUACAAAUAGAAACAUGCUCAACAGUAAAUGUAGAUGGUUUGCAAGCAUUUAAUUCUUCUAUUUUAGCAUUUAAUCUAACAUUCUCAUCUUUAAGACAGGAAAUAGAAUCAUUGCAAAUAUUCAAUUCUUUAACCUUAGAAACUAGACUAGCAUUUUCAUUUCUAAGACUAGAAAUUGAAUCAUGACAAAUGCUAAGCUCCUUAGUUAAGUUUUCACAUUUUUCUACUUUCUGAGCAUAAGCAUUUUUUAGUUUAACAAAUUUUUUGUUUUUUUUAAUGAGAAAGUCCUCUUGGCUAUCCAAGAGUUCAUCCUUCUCAUUAAUGGCUUCAAUUAAUUCAUUUAAUUUUUUCUUUUGGUCCAUGCUAAGGUUGGCAAAGAGAGACAUUAAAAUCUUCAUAAUCACUAGAGCUACCCUCAUCACUAGAUGUUGUAUAUUUGGGGGUGGCUCUAGAGUCUACCUUCUUCUUCUUCUUGCUAUCCUUAGCCAAGAGACACUUGUGGCCGACGUUGGGGAAGAGGAGGCCUUUGUUGACGGCGAUGUUGGCGGCGUCCUCGUCAGAGGAGGAGUCGGUGGAGCUCUUGUCGAAGUCCCAUUCCCGGCAUAUGUGGGCAUCGCCGCCCUUCUUCUUGUAGUAUCUCUUUUUCUCCUUUUUCUUCCAUUUCGUGUCGUCGUCCCUGUCACUUCCACUAGAAAUUGGACAUUUUGCUAUGAAAUGACCGGACCUACCCCACCGGUAGCACACCUUCUUGGAGCGGGACUUGUAGUCUUUCCCCCUCCUUUGCUUAAGGAUUUGGCGGAAGCUCUUGAUGAUGAGCGCCAUUUCCUCGUUGUCGAGCUUGGAGGCGUCAAUUGGAAUCCUACUUGAUGUAGACUCCUCCUUCUUUUCUUCCAUCGCUUUGAAUGCGACGGGUUGCACCUCGGGUGUGGAGGUGGCGCCUUGCUCCAAGUUGACAAUGUGUUUGGAGUCUUUGAUCAUUAGCUCAAAGCUCACAAACUUGCCAAUCACUUCCUCGGGAGACAUUAGUUUAUAUCUAGGAUCCCCACGAAUUAAUUGCACUUGAGUAGGAUUGCAAAAAACAAGGGAUCUUAGAAUAACCUUGACCAUUUCAUGGUCAUCCCAUUUGGUGCUCCUGAGGUUGUGCACUUGGUUGACCAUUGUCUUGAGCCGGUUGUACAUGGCUUGUGGCUCUUCCCCUUUGUUGAGGACGAAUUGACCGAGCUCUCCCUCGAUCGUCUCGUGCUUGGUGAUCUUGGUCACCUCGUCCCCUUCAUGCGCGGUUUUGAGGACGUCCCAAAUUUCUUUGGCGCUCUUUAAUCCUUGCACCUUGUUAUACUCCUCUCCACACAAGAAGGCGAGGAGUAUAGACGUGGCUUGGGAGUUAAAGUGCCUAAUUUGGGCGGCCUCGUCUGAGUCAUAGUCUUUGUCCCCCACCUUAGGUACCUGCGCUCCAUACUCAACAAUAUCCCAAAUACUUUUGUGGAGUGAGGUUAGAUGGUGCCUCAUUUUAUCACUCCACAUACAAUAAUCCUCACCAUCAAAAUAUGGUGGUUUUCCUAGGGGUAUGGAAAGUAAUGGAGUGCGCUUUGAAAAUACGGGGAUAGCGAAGACGCAUCUUACUAUACUUCUUGUGCUCAUGGUGCUUAGAAGCGACGGAUGACUCGGAGCUCGAUGUGGAGGGUGACGAAGAGUCGGUCUCGUAGUAGACCACUUUCUUCAUCUUCUUCUUCUUGUCACCUUUCCAAUGCGACUUGAUGGAGGAAGAGGAUUCCUCCUUGUGUUUGUUGCCGGACUCCCUUGAGAGAGUCCUCCCCGAGCUUGCAGACUUGUCGUUGGUCAUGAUCUCCCUCUUGGUGUGAUCUCCAGACAUCACUUCGAGUUGGUUAGACUCUUAAUGAAGCAUUGGCUUUGAUACCAAUUGAAAGUCGCCUAGAGGGGGUUGUCGGAGAGGAAAUUCUCCGGCUAGGUGGCGGAACGCAGCCGCCCUAAAUGCUAAGAUGUGGAGGGGCCUAAGCGUUUUGCAUGUCUGCUAAGCGGUGAACGAACACAAGAACACACAAGGGUUUAGAGUGGUUCGGGCCACCGGAGUGUAAUACCCUACUCCACUAUGUAAUGUAUUGAUCUUGAGAGCUUGUAUGAACUUGUGAGCGUCUAAGUCAGCUUGAGUUGUAACGUUGCGUGCCUCCCCUUUUGUAGCUAAAGGGGGGCACGUACAAGGGUGCUGAGCCCCGACAUGCGGGCCCAGGGACAUAACGGAUGUAAUGCUUGGAGCAACUAAUGCUGGUCGCCAGUGCAUCCUCCUUGUGCCCUGAUAUCCGCAACCUGCGUAGUAUCGGCGUGCAGCGGAAGCUUCACUAGCAACGUAUCGAGUCAUGAUGAGCACAGUGUACGCUGCAGCAUGGGCGUACUACCUGCCACCGGAGCGGAUGGGCACGCCGCCUGCAGGAUGGCCUGGCCGCCGCCCGUCAGCAUAGUGGGCAGUGCACAUUAAAUGCUGAGUCGGCACAUUGCCUGUCACUGGAGUAGACAGGGCGCAUUUAAUGCUGAGGCGGCACAUCACCUGCCAGCUUGACGAGCGACACGCCUCCUCCGCAAUAAAUGCGCGACCCAGAGGCCUUACGUCUGGCUCCGCACGCUGGCUCACGUCACGGGCAGUAAGCCACACGGCAGCAUCGGGUAUUCGCCUAAGCGGGGAGUGGGAGCGCUCGCGGUAUGGUCCAGACACGUGUCAGCACCAGACCCCUGCUUGACCUUGAUUAAGGCAUGGGUACUCUUUGCCUUGGAAUCCCGGGACCCACCGUGAGUAGCCCGGACCCCUCCUGAGGGGUUCGGGACCCGUUCCAGGGGUCUGGUUUGUACCUGUGGAGGUCUUGAACCUCGCCCGGAGGACUGGGCUGUGCAUCCAGGGGUCCAGCACUUUCCCGUCGCCACCUUGGAGUAUAUCGUCUCCUCUGGCCACAUGGUGGCCCUAGAGCCGCCCAUGUGGAGGGGUUAGGUGUUGUUCACCGCGCGACUAGAGAUAGCCGCGCGGGUAUGGUGUCUUCAUAUUGUAGUAAGGGGUACCCUUGAUUCAGGGUACCGACAGGGGUGAAUAGGCGAAACCUGAAAUUUAUAAACUUAAGCACGCACUAAGGUCGGGGGUUACCAUUAGAAUUAAUUUCAAGUCGAUAAGAGAGGGGAAAACAAAUCAAACAAGAAUCAAGGCGAGUGAACACAAUGAUUUGUUUUACCGAGGUUCGGUUCCAAAGAACCUAGUCCCCAUUGAGGAGGUCACAAAGACCGGGUCUAUUUCAACCCUUUCCCUCUCUCAAACGGUCACUUAGACCGAGUGAGCCUUCUUCCUUAAUCUCACGGGUCACUAAGACCCCGCAAGGACCACCACACACUUGGUAUCUCUUACCUCGCUUACAAAGCACUUGAGAAUAAGAGUAGGAAAAGAAAAAGGCCAAGCCAAGCAACAAGAGCAACAAAGAACACAAGAACACCCUCUCUCAAGUCCCUAAUGAAAUUGAGUGAAUUUGGAGGCUUAGAGAGGAUUCAAUCUAUUUGAUGUGUCUUGGAGUGGAGUCUUUUUCUCUUGUAUUGAAUGAGAUGUUUGGAAUGAUUGGAUGGAUAUGAAUGAGGUGGUUGGGGGGUAUUUAUAGCCCCCAACCACUUCCAUAGCCGUUGGGGAGGCUACUGGCGAUGGGCGCACCGGACAGGCACUGUUCCUUGUCCGGUGUGCCGCCACAUCACCCAGCCGUUAGGGUUCGGAGCUGGUCGACCAUUGGAGGCUUUGUCCUCUUAUGGCACCGGACAGUCCGGUGCCCCUCUAACUUUCUACUCUAACUUCUGCCAUGACACUAUUCAUCUGUCAGAGUCGACCGUUGCGUGCAGAUAGUCAUUGCUCCGCUGGCUCACCGGACAGUCCGGUGGCACACUUGACAGUCCGGUGGCACACUGGACAGUCCGGUGGAUUAUAGCGGAGGGCGCCCUGGAAUUCACGAGAGUGGCUGGUUGACAUCUGUACGGUCCUAGUGCACCAGACAGUCUGGUGCGCCAAUGCUCAGCACACUCAAGUUCUUUGCUUCGUUUGAAAUUGAGUCCCUAACUUGAUUCUUUUCUUGGUUUGUAUUGAACCUUAUGCACCUGUAAUAGAUGAUUUCUAGAGCAAACUAGUUAGUCCAUGUGUUUGUGUUGAUUAUCAACCACCAAAAUUAAUUAUAGGAAAUGGUUAACCCAAUUUCCCUUUCAGAACCUGCUUUUCGAGAGCAUCAUGUGCCCAUGGGAAUCGUUCAGCUCAAAGAAGAAGAAUUUUGGGAGUUAACUCAAGGAGGGCGAUCUGUUAGUGAAUACAUCCACAAAUUCACAGAGCCGGCUUGCUAUGCGCCUGAUGAUGUCAGCAUGGAAGCCAAGAAGAUGGCUCGUUCUUGAAGGGAUUGAGACCUGAACUCAAGACCAUCCUCGCCAGCCAAGACUUCCUCAGCUUCUCGCACCUCUCGAAUAAAGCUAUCCAGGUGGAAAGGGCAUGACAAGAAGAAAAAAGCCACCUCAAGAGGAAGUUUCAAGUUCUCCGAGCUCAACAACAGGACAGGCACCAGAGAGUUCGAUCUUUUGGGUUCCCUCCCAAAGGGACGAACUUCAGUAAGCCAAUAGGGUCCGCUUCGUCACGUUUCAGCCAGCCUGGUCAAAGUUCCCUCCACACCCCAUCUGUUGCAAGCAGCCAACCUCCAACCAAUGCUUGUUGGCACUGUGGAGACCCAGUCAUUACAAGAAUAAUUGUCCUCAGUUGAAGACAUCCGUACCUGCCUACUCCAACUCGGUGAAUGGCCCCAAGAAUGUUUCAUCACCCGCCUCCAAGGCACCCUCCACCAACAGCUAGCUAAGCAAGACCCAGUUUCACGGUAGGGCUCGAGUGAAUCACGUCGACGCCCAAGAAGCUCAGCAAGCCCCUGGAGUAGUGCUCGGUGAGUUCCUAGUCAAAUUUACCCCACAACUGUACUUUUUUAUUCUGGAGCAUCCCGUUCUUUCAUCGCCACUAGUUUUGUGUAAAAGCAUGGCAUCCCCACUGCAUCUUUAGAAAUCCCUUUGGUCACCCGAACCCCUGGGUCAGACCUUCUAUGCCACCUCAAAUGCUCUCAAGUCAGAAUUCUUUUAAGUGGGGUAGUAUUCUUGGCGGACUUAGCCGUACUACCAUCCCACGAGAUUGAUGUGAUCCUAGGAAUGGAUUGGUUGACCAAGCACAAUGGUAUCAUAAGUUGCGCAGAUAAGACUAUUCUUCUCACUGACCACCAAAGGAAAUCAGUUUCGUGUAAAGCUCAGCCACCAACCCGAGAUCCAAUGGUGUCCAGCCUAGCAGCAGAAAGUAUAUCUGUGGUGGAAGAAUUCAUGGUUGUGUUUCCGGAAGAAUUGCCAGGAAUGCCUCCAGAAAGAGAGGUAGAAUUCUACAUUCAUCUCCUCCCAAGCACCACACCAAUCGCAAAGAGACCAUACCGCAUGGCUCCCACAUAAUUGGCAUAACUGAAGCUUCAGAUCGCAGAACUUCAACAGAAAGGGUACAUUCGUCCUAGUUCAUCUCCUUGGGGAGCACCAGUAUUGUUUGUCACCAAGAAGGAUGGGAGCAUGAGAAUGUGCAUUGAUUACAAAUCCUUAAAUGAAGUUACAAUCAAGAACAAGUAUCCACUACCUCGGAUUGAUGACCUCUUCGACCAACUUCAAGGGGCUAUGUAUUUCUCCAAGAUUGAUCUAAGGUUAGGAUAUCAUUAGUUGAGAAUCAAGGAAGCGGACAUUCAGAAAAUAGCCUUUGUCACCCGGUACGGUCAGUACGAGUUUAUAGUAAUGCCCUUUGGAGUAACCAACACACCCGCCUUCUUCAUGAAUCUUAUGAAUAAGGUAUUUAUGGAAGAGUUGGACAACUUUGUCGUAGUCUUUAUUGACGACAUUCUUAUCUACUCCAAGAGUCGUGAGGAUCAUGAGCAUCACCUCCGGAUUGUCCUCGGAAGACUCAGAGCGCAUCAACUCUAUGCUAAGCUCAUCAAAUGCAAAUUUUGGUUAGAAAAGAUAGCCUUCCUCGAGCAUAUCUUGACAGCAGAAGGGAUAGAAGUGGACCCAUCCAAGGUAGAAGCAGUAUCCAAAUGGAAGCAGCCAUCCAACGUUAGUAAGUGUGAAGUUUUUUGGAAAUGGCGGGAUAUUACUGCCGUUUUAUCAAAGGAUUCUCCAGCAUUGCAAGACCCAUGACCGAACUCCUCAAGAAAGACAACAAAUUUGUGUGGACCCCAAAGUGUGAAGGAAGUUUCCAAGUCAUAAAGGAUAAACUCACAACCGCGCCAGUAUUGACACUGCCAGACAUCCAUCAAAGUUUUGUCAUCUUCUGUGAUGCUUCAAGACAAGGUUUGGGAUGCGUACUUAUGCAGAAUGAGAAAGUCAUCGCCUAUGCAUCUCGCCUACUCAAGCCUCAUGAGCAGAAUUAUCAAAACCAUGAUUUGGAACUAGCAGCCAUAGUGCAUGCUCUUAAGAUAUGAAGACACUACCUGAUUGGGAACAAAUGUCAUAUAUUCAUAGAUCACAAGAGUCUGAAGUACAUUUUACCCAACCAGAUCUCAACCUCCGUCAGCGAAGAUGGCUAGAACUAAUUAAGGAUUAUGACAUCGAGAUCCACUACCACCCCGGAAAGGCUAACGUAGUAGCAGACACCCUCAGCCGGAAACCUUUCGGGGAGAAAGCAACAAACUUCUUGGAAGACUAGAAGAGAGAAUCAGCUCAACUGAAUGCUUGUUUGGGAGAAAAUGGUAGUAUGGAAGUUAAACCGAUGCUGGAAGAUCUCAUUCGCAAAGCUCAGCGUUUGGACGCCGAGAUGGCAGGACUUGCAGAAAAGGCUAGUGAGGAACAACUUCCAGAUUUUAGGACAGAUGAAAAGGGAGCCCUCUGGUUCAAAAACUGUCUGUGUGUACCGAAGGGAGAGGCACGAGAAAUCCUGCUAGACAAAGCUCACAACUCAUCCUAUUCUAUCCACCCAGGGUCUACCAAGAUGUACCUAGACCUCAAGACCAGAUAUUGGUGGAGAGGAAUGAAAAAGGAGAUGGCUUAGUAUGUGGCCCAGUGUGAUACUUGUUAAUGAACUAAGGCAGAACAUCAGAGGCCUGCAGGCCUACUGCAACCCCUCCCAGUGCCCAAAUGGAAGUGGGAAGAAAUAGGCAUGGAUUUCGUAAUUGGACUGCCCCGAACCCAAAAAGGGAACGAUUUUAUCUGGGUUAUAAUUGACUGUCUUACCAAGGUAGCUAACUUCAUUCUAGUGGAGACUACCUUCGGAGGAGCCACCCUUGCCCGGAUAUAUCUCAAAGAAAUAGUCAGACUUCAUGGCAUUCCACGAAGAAUAGUGUCAGACAGGGGAACACAAUUCACCUCAAAAUUUUGGAUGAGCCUUCAGCAAGCUAUGUGCACCAAGCUAGAUUUCAGCAUCGCUUACCACCCCCAAUCAGAUGGACAAACAGAAAGAGUCAACAAAGUCCUCGAAGAUUUGUUGAGAGCCUGUGUGUUGACCUUCGACAGAAAUUGGGAAUCCAGUUUGCCGUAUGCAGAAUUCUCGUACAACAACAGUUACUAGGCCAGCAUGAAGAUGUCACCUUUCGAAGCCUUGUAUGGAAGGAGGUGCCAAACCCCUCUGAUGUGAUCAAACGUGGGGGAAAAGACCCUAGAAGGACCUGCCUUCAUCAAGGAGGCAGAAGAGAAAGUUGCCCUAAUCCGCAAGAGACUACUCGAAGCUAAGAGUCAGCAAAAGAGUUACACAGACAACAGAAGGAGGGAAUUCAGUUUCGAGGAAGGAGAUUCUGUCUACCUCAUGGUCUCCCCAAUGCGUGGAGUCAAAAGAUUCCAAGCAAAAGGGAAGCUAGCUCCACGAUUUGUGGGCCACUACCCUAUCAUCGGCAGAAUAGGGCCAGCAACUUACCGUCUUCAGUUGCCAGAGUCCAUGUCAGAUAUCCACAUGUAUUUCAUGUAUCUCAGCUCUGAAAAUGCUUAAAAGUACCAGAAAGUCACAUCGCAGAGGAGUCAGUUCAGAUUCAGAAGGAUCUGCAGUACCGAGAAAAGCAGUGAAGAUUCUCGAUUCAGCCGUCUGAAAACCCAAAAAUUAGAAGUAAGGCUCUGUAAAGUCCAGUGGAGCAGAGAACGAGAAGAGGAGGCUACCUGGGAGAGUGAGGACUCAUUGAGGAGGGAAUACCCUUACCUUUUCUCAAACCCAGCCUGAAUCUCGAGGGCGAGAUUCUUUUAAGUGGGGUAGGUCUGUAACAUCCCAAUUUUGAUCCCCAGGUUAGAAACCCUAGACUCCUAACCCCCCUUAAUUCCUCCUAAGACCCCAUCUCAUGAAGCAUUUUAUUCAUCAUAUGCAUACACCAUGAUUGCUAAUAACACUUUACAUAGAGUAUUUCAUUUUGGCACCCAACAUAUUUAGAUGAAUAUUUGUUUGGAGAAGAAAAAGGGAUUUAGGAAAAGGAAAUAGAAAAGAAAUAGAAAAAGAAAAAAAAGGAAAAUCCCUUCUCCCCCCUCUCGGCUGGGCCGGAUCCGGCCCAAGUUUUUUCCCCCUCCCUCCCGCGUGCCCGCGCUCCUCCCCCCACUCAUGGCCCACACGGGCCAUCUCCCUCGUGCCACGCUCUCCCCUGACAGCCCAGCCCCACCCGUCAGCCACGCCCACCCUUUCUCCCUCGCACCCGCUCUUCCACUGACAGCCCGACCCUGCUCGUCAGCCCCUUUUCCCUCGCCUAUGAUCGACCCACGACGCGAUCGUCGCCGGCCACCGCCCGCCUCAUCUCCUCGCCGUUACUCGCCCACCAGCACGAUUUUGGCGCCUUGCGUCCCCGUGCACUGUGGUCGAGCCGUCCCGUCGCCACCGCCUGCACCGAGCUGUCCUGUCGCCACCACUUUGCCGCCAUCAUCGUCGUCGCAGCAAGCUUCACCGGUGCCCGCCACUUCCUCCUCCCCCCCUCCCCGACCACCUAUAAAAGGACAGCCCCGAGCCUCUCAUCUCCUCGCACCAGCCUCGGCCACUCCUUCCCCUCCCCUGGACCCUAUCGAGCUCGGCGCCGUCGACUCUCCCCUCUCCGUUGAGCUUCUCCCUCCCCUCUCCGGUGGCUUAGAGUCUAAUUGAUGUAGUUCAUGAGCUUUGCCACUUCGCCACAAGCACAGCGCACCUUUCUCCCUCGCCUAUCGCGCCCAGUAGCCUCGCCGGCAACCUCACCGCCACGGAAGCCCGCCACCUCGCCGUGGACCGGCCAUCCCGAGUGUCCACCCAACAAAUUAACCCCACCACCAUGACCCCCUACCCCUGGUCGCACUAGCCCACCUCCCCGACCACCCGGAACCGGAACCACGGUGGAGAACCGCCGCGGAACCUCAUCGGCGGUCGGGUUUUCCUGACCCCGGCCGGUUCGCCCGCUCCCCCGUUAGACCGCCCGACGCCGUCAGCUCUUCCCCUCUCUCUGACGCGUGGGCCCGCGCUCACGGCGUCCGCCCACGCCAUCUCCCCUCCUCUUGGGUCGUCUGGGCCCAUUCGCCCGCGGCACCACGCACACGCGCCCACACUGGGCCGAACCCCCCCUCAGGCCCAGCUAACCGAGAAUUCCUUCUCCUUUUUCCUUUUCUCGUUUUAUUUUCCUAUUUUCUUAUAUAUGUAUAUAUGUUGAUAUUUUAUGCACCGAAAAAGUAGUCCAAAUAUUCCUUAAGUCACAAAAUAAUAACUUGACACACUUUAUUAGCCAACAAUGUUUGAUGUACUGUUUUUGCCUGUUUUUGCAAGGCGAAGAGGGGUCCGACCCUCCGGAAUUCAUAGCUCCGGAAGAAGGGCAGGAGCCUGACCUCUCGGAAAUAGAUCUUUCGUGCCAAGAGAACUUCGACGAAGGCAAGUCCAUUCUCCCCUUGAUGCAUAAAUUACCUACUCUUUCUACCACUGCCUAAGCCGGGAAUAGGGGUUGGGUUCUAUGCAUUGUGAGUGAGUGCUGGCCUGCAUUAAAGAAUAUUUUUUGGGUACAAAAUAUGGGUUGAGGCAUUGGUGGAUUUCUAAAGAGAGAAAUUUUUUCAAUAAAGUAUAUGAUGAAGGGUAUUCACCCUUAUCACCAAUUGAGUGGGAUGAUCAGGGACUCCCUGGUUUAAGGGCGGGCCUCAGGUGUUGGCUCAGCCGGGUUAGGUGUGAGCAUGAAGGAUCGUCCCCUCAUAUAAGGACCGGUUUGUCAUCCUUCACUACUUGUACUCAUGACAAGUACAACCACUCGAGACUGUAUGGGCAGUCACUCAAUCUGAACUUGUACGGUCCGAACCCUAGGGUUAUGAUGGCUGGGGAGCACCGGGAGGAUAAGGAAGGGGAAUGUUUUGUCCGGUUUGGUCAUCGUGGUGGCCUGACUCCUUCCGGUUUAAUCAUUAAGGUAAGGACGUGCAAGGAAGGAAAGAGAUUCGGAUUCGGGUCUCAUUGGCCAUAAGACCGUAGAGUCAGACUAGUGGGUAAAGUGUACACCUCUACACAUAGUUUGAAACCUAUUCGAAUAGUCCGUGUCCACUGUAUGGACGAGUCUGGUGUGGUAUGGCAAUUAGUGUUUUGAUCUUCAUAAACAGGGAAGUGUGUGUGUGUUUUGGAAAUAAAAAUAAUACCACGGGAGCGGGAAGCUCAGUGGUGAUUGAGUGUGAAAAUGUGCUACUUCUCUCUUUUGGGUAAAACCUCAAGUAUCACCUUUCUCUGAAAAAGAAAUGAGUGACUUCAACUCCACCGUACCAAGCAUGUACUAUAUAGGCCCCUCUCUCUUUACGGGUGGGAUGGGCUUGCGGAAUACCUAGUGUAUUCACCCAGAUUUAUUUAUGUUUUUCAGCAGCUGAAGACUUCUUUUCUGCUAUGUUCGACUAGAAGGGGGUUGUGUCUGCACCCAGUCCGCCUGUGGCUUGGGCUAGAUGAUCUUCCACUGUGCUAUGUUCCUAGGCUCGCUAGAGCUUGUAUUUUGGUAUUGUAGUAACUAUUAUUCGAAAGUCUGUACUAUUUGAAGAAAUGAAUGUGUUUACUAGCCUCUUGGGACUAGUAAUUGUAUCACAUUUAAGUCCCAAAGGAUCGGGACGCUUCAAAUAAUAACACCCACAAUGCAAUGCAAAUCACAGUAUAAGUUUAAUUCCAUAAUUUAAUCAUGUGAGUGUCGGAGUUGCUCAUGGCUGUGAGCACGACUGAUAUACCAGUUUUACACUCUUUAGAGGUUGCGCAUCUUUACCCCACAAGUCAUGUUACCCAUCUGCUAUGGGGUCAUGAAUCCCAGACACCUCUAUCGAGGAGGCGAGGUAGGGUAGUACUACGAGGCCUUAUCAAAGUUCCACUAGUUUGAGAAAACCCACUACGGAUUCCAGGAAGAAGGAAGCAUAGGAAUCCCUCGUCCGAAAAGCUAUACAUACAGUUCGACCCAAGGACCUCCCAAUACUCUGCAGCGACGCCUCCCCGCUUGCCCCUUUCAGGUAAGGUAGUCUCUCCCUAUCUUUCCUAAUUACUUAGCCAAGGGCGUCCCAUUCCACCCUUGUGGUAGCACUGUUUUUCUGAGUGGUUCUCCAUGUUCCAAUUAAUACAAUAAUCUUAUCAUAAACAAUAAUUAAACCAAUAGAAUUAAUGGAACUUGAUCAUAUAUAACAUUAAUUCUCAAAACCAGGUAGAGCAAUAGCAAAUCUACUCAAUAGUUCAUUUGUUUGCAAGGUUGUAAUACCCAAUUUGUAAAUAAUAAGAAAAGAGUUCAUCUCAUUAUAUGUUUGCCCUCUACUUAAUAGAACAUGAGAAUAACCAUAUUUAAAGUGAAUAAUUAACUAAUGACACCUACAAUAAUCUAUGCAUCAUGUUGGAGUUUAUUUGUGUGUGUGCAUUUAAUAAUAUUAUUAAUAAUAAUAUUAAUAGAAAUACAUUAAUAUCCAAAUUGGGAAUUAAUACCUAGUUUGCAAUCUAGAAUUUGGAGAAAGAGAAGGAAAAUACCAUACAAAAUAAAGAAAAUAAAUAUAUAAAUAAAUGUAACCUCUCCAUACUGGUAUUUUCAACUUGUAUAUUUAAUCUAAGUACAAGUUCACAGCUAAAUUUGAAUUCAAAUUUAAACUCUAAAAAUAAAAAGGAAAAGAAAACAAAAAAGGAAAAAGAAAUGGAAAAAAAUUGCGCUUGGGCUGGUUCACUUCAACCAGCCCACCAACAAACUCCUGCGCGGCCCACCUCUCUUCGCAUUCGCACGCUAACAACCGUGGGCCACUGGUCAGCAACCCUCUCUUUUUGUCGCGUGUCGACAAGCGGGACCAACACGUUAGCUUCCUAUUGUCCCUCGGUGCGGCUUACUGGUGGGUCUCGUGUGUUGCUCGGCUGUCCGUGUGACGUGGGCACUCACUAGCUGAUGGGCCCAGUUUGUCAGCAACCACCUCCAACUACCGCGCCGAGCAUGGCGGCACCUCGGCCGUGGAUCUUGGGGGGCUCAUUGCGUGCGCCUGGGCUGGCCUACGGGGACUUAAGUAUCGAGUACCAGGGGCCCCAAACCCUCUCUCCCCAUCACGCCUCCAUCAUCCUCGUCGUGGACAGAAUUGAGAAGAAAAGGGGGAGAAGCGGGAGAGAGCCAGCCGCCGCCGCCAUCCCAUUCGCGCCCCGCCACUAGAAGCCUUUGAAGGGGUCGGGGCCAUCACCAAGGUGCCCCGAGAGCGUGAGUGGGUUCUGCAGGCAUCGGAGGGGGAGUAUUGCCGGGGAAUUGCUCGUCGGAGUUUAGGGACCGUGCCGAGCCGCAGUUCAUCGCGGACCAGACUCCUGUGCGUGCCACCCUCGGUGAGUAGGGGCUUUCCCGUUUUAAUUUGCUCGGCGUUACAUGUUGCAACCGGUCGAUCGGAGGUUAGGACGGUAGAUCGGGCGAUCGUGGUGGCCGGCGAAUGGCGCCACCGUAUGGUGCAUAUGCGCCGUCGUUCGGGGAGGCCGGAGGAGGUAGAUGGGUUUGCCAUUGUUGAUCCAUGGGGGUGCGGCUAGGAUUGUAUCAGGUGGAAACAAGAUAGGAGUCGUCGAUCUCGUUUUGGUCAGUCGGGAUUAUAAUGUAGGUACCCCCUUUAGCGCUUUAAAUCCAUGUCGUGGGUUAUCCAUUUGAUGGCCAAGAUCGGGCCCUGGCGUGGUCAGAUCUUGGGCAUUGAUUUUAGAUCUGAGGGUCAGAAGCGAGUACCGGCUUAGUAACCGGGAGAUCUAAUCUGGGACAUUCAUAUUUGAUCCAUCGACCGGGAUUCUGGGAUACCCCUUGAGACGAUCAAUUUUUCAAAAGAGCCCUUAUGGAUUUUGGAAAACAACCCGCGGUCCAUAGUAAUAGUAAGGUAAUUGCGGAUGAACCUAGAAAACUAUGAUUCGGGCCUUGAACUCUCUAUUAAUCGUGCGCGCGGUCCAGACACACAGUGAAUUAGAUAAAUCAAUAUAGAAACUAAUUUACUGUAUAAAAAUAAUUAUAGAAUCUUAGUUAAUUCAUAAUAAAUUCAUUUUAAUUCCUUUUUGAGCCAUUCCAGUUGCAUUAAUUUUGCUGCGAUGACGGUCAGACGAAGGAUUCCUGCAUUUGUGGGUAAAGGGUUUUCUAAAGACCUAGAAACUGUAGCGGGUUUUCUAAAGCUAGUGGAACUUUGUAAAGGCCUUGUAGUGUUACCCUGCCUCGUCUCCUCGGUAGAGAUGAAUGGGACUUCUAGACCCCUUGGCAACCGGGUGACAUGACUUGUGGGUAAAGGGUACAACUUCUGUAGAGUGUAAAACUGGUAUACUAGUCGUGCUCGUGGUCAUGAGCAGCUCUGGACUUUCGCAUGAUUAAAUUAUGGAAUUAAAUUCAAUUUGUCAUUUGCAUCGUAUUGUGUUUUAUUAUUAAUUUUGAUUUAUUAUUACUCUAGUUUGGUAUCUACUUACAUUUAGUAACUGUUAAUAAAACUUGACCAACUUAUUAAAAACAAUGCUCAGCUUUAACCCUUAUUUGUUGAUCAGCCUUACACUUCACAUUAACUCUCACCUUUGGUAAGUUCAUGCACAUUAUUCCCCACAACUUGUUGAGCUAUGAUCUUUUGUGAGCUCACCCUUGCGAUAUAUAAAUCUCCCCCACAGGAGAAGAACAGGUGGUCCAGGAGGUAGGGCUGGGCAUAGGGAUGGCAAUGGGGCCCCAUUCCCCGAUCCCCGGCGGGGAAUUCAUCUAUUAGGGGACGGGGAUGGUGAGAUAAUACUCCCCGCGGGGAAAGAAAUGGGCAAAAACCAAUCCCCAUCGGGGAUGGCGGGGCCGGGUACAGUUUAUCGCCGCCCAUACCCGUUACCCGUCGGGGACCCGAUAUUACACGUGGGACCAUUAACUCAGUGUCUCAAAUGUCCCAGCGUGGAAUACCAGAUCCUAAUCGCCAGGACGCCGCUCGCCCGCAGCCCGCUCCUUCGUCCUUCCCUCCCUUCACGGACCGCGGUCCCCUGCCGCCGGCAGCCCUGCUCCGCCAUCCGCCCCCUGCUCCGCUGCCUGCUCCUUGCUCGGGCGGUCGAGCCAGACGUCCUGCUCGGGCUAGCCCCCUGCAUCCACGAGCAGAUCCCCAGGCGGCCGCCCCCUGCGCUUGAGCAGAUCCUUAGGCGGUCAGGCGGCCAACGUCCAUCGUCCGCCCCUGUGCUCGAGCACAUCCCCAGGCAGCCAGGCAUCCUGCGUCCACGUGGAUCUGAUCGACAUCGGCUUCUUCCUCCAGCGUCCAGCCGUCGGCACUAGCUGCUCAGCCGCGUGGGCAUCGGCUGCUCGGCUGUUGGCGGGGAUUUUUCCCCAUCGGAUCCCCGUAUACCCGAUGGGGACGGGUACGGGGAAAAUUUCUCCCCGCGGGCGGGGACGGGGACGGGUAAUGGGGAAUUUUUACUUUGGCGGGGACGGGUAUGGGAGAGCAGUCCCCGACGGGGAGCAGCCCCGUUGACAUCCCUAGCUGGGCAUUUGGUCUAUUAGGGUAAUUCGGUUCGGUCUAUUCGGGUUUGUGAAAUUUUGGGUUCUAAAAAAUGAGAACCGAAAUUUUCAAAAUUAUUUUAGGAACCGAACCCGAAUAGACUCACAAUUUCGGUUCGGUCUAUUCGGUCCACCGAAUAGACCUGAAUAGUAGAGGGACUAGUAUCUUUUGUUAAAAUAUAUACAAUAAAUAAUUAAUUGAAAGUACUAUUAUUACAACAAGUAACUAUAAAAAAUAGCAUACAAAGAUAUAUAUACUACCAUUAAGAUGAUAUCAUUAUUUUUAGCUAAUAAGUUCAUAAAUCAUAUAGUAAUACCAUCAAAUAUUAAGAGCUUUUUUAUAUUUCGGGUUAUUCGGUCUAUUCAGGUUUUAAAUGUUAGGAACCGAACCUGAACCCAUACCCCGAAAUAUAGCACAUAUAGGAACCGAACCCAAACCCGAAAACCCGAAUAGACCGACAAUUCGGUCUAUUCGGGUUUGGUUCGGGUUCGGGUUCGGGUUCAGUUUUCGGUUUUAAAAUGCCCACCCCUACCAGGAGGAGCCUUACAACGAGGAGUACGAGCUUAUCUAGGUGGCGUCUCCCAGUCAGCUUUAUGGCACCAAGGAAUAAUGCUUAGUUCGCUUUAUUGUUCUUAUUUAUUUUUGUAAGACUUCCGUUAUGUAAUAAUGAUAUUUGUGACAUUUAUCUCUAUACACUUUGUCAUUAUAUGUGAUGUUCUUAUUUGGCGCACAUAUGAGACGCACCCGACUUCAUCCCUUAAAUCUGGGUGUGAUAGAAGUGGUAUCAGAGAAAAUGUUGACUGUAGGACGAAACCUAGAUAGAACUAGACAAAACCCUUACCUACUUAUCUUUACUCUGAUUCUUUCUAUACUUAUCUUGAUCCUAUCUCACCUUUUAGUUGUUCUACUCUGACUAUUCUUAUAUUUUCUACUCUAGAAAGACAAGAAGGAUUUCACACCUUGGAAUCCUACCUUUGUGACCCUCUAAAGAGAUAGGAGACCUAAGACAAAAAAAAAUUAUCUGCCUGAAGUGAUUGGAUGUUUGUUUUGAUGGUAAAUGCUUGAUUUGCUUCUUUGAUUGACUAAAAUAGUAUAGCAGGGCAUUCUAGCAUGUACCACCAUAAGAUAAUGUAUUAGUAUUAGUAGGUGACACUCUAAUCUACUGAGCCAAUAAAACCCCCAAAAGAUCAUGUCUCAUAAUUCCUCGUCUUAUCUGCAAUUCUAUCUUACCAUGUGUUUCUAACCCAGAUGGUCAAUACCUGCCAACCACCAUAGCAGGAGGAUUGUUAGACAACCACAACCAGAGAUGAGUUCUCCACCGAAUCCUCCACCGGUUGGGACAGAUCCAGUGGUUGCCGCUCAGAUGCGGAUGCUACAACAGAUGGCAAACACGAUGAAUGAAAUGAAAACUCAGAUGAGGCAAGAACAUCAGGAGAUGCGUCGGGACAGGCAGGAAAUGCGUCAGGAGAUGAGACAAGACCGAUUGGAGAGACAACAACAACAACCACUACCUCCACCACCACCAGCAGCUCCACCUCGGGACAAGCACCGGGAAUUCAUGAGUCACAAGCCACCUACAUUCUCCAGCUCUCCAGAUCCUCUACAUGCUGACGAUUGGCUGAAAUUAGUGGAGAAGAUGCUUAAUAUCGCUUAACGCACUGAUCGAGAGAAGGUGCUCUAUGCUUCAGGCUGUCUCACUGGCCCCACUGCUGAUUGCUUGGACUCCUACACUGCUGCCCAUGAUGCUGCCAAUAAUAUCACCUAGGCAGAGUUUGCUUUCAGAAACUACAAUAUUCGUGUUGGCCUGAUGAAAAUAAAGAAGAAGGAAUUCCUAUCACUGAAGCAAGGCAACAUGUCAGUCAGUGAAUAUUGUGAUAAAUUUAUUCAGCUGUCGAAGUAUGCUCCAGAUGAGGUUGCUGACGAUGAAAGGAAGCAGGAGCAUUUCAUGGAGGAACUUGUUGGACCACUUCAGUAUCAGCUGGUUGCUCACACCUUUCCAUCUUUCCAAAGGCUUCUAGAUAAGGCAAUAGCUAUUAAACACAAAUGUGUUCAGCUGGGUGAGAUGAGGAGGAAGGCUAUCACCUAGGGGCAGGGGAGCAGUAGCGUCCGUCCUCGCAAUGUUCCACCCUGGGUACACCGGCUCAUCCUGGAGGAGGGCAAUGGCCAGCUCAGUAUACACCACAAGGGACUCCACAGACUCCACACACUCGUUAGGCUGCCCCCACUGGCACCCCGGCGAGACCUGUAGGAUAGGGUACAGUCACCACUUGCUUCAAGUGCGGUGAGGUUGAGCACUACGCCAAUGCUUGUCCGAAGAAGAUCCCCAACACACCUGCUCGAAGCAACAUUCAGGGCAAGCAAUAGACUCCAACUUCUGGCAAGGGAUUCAGCAUUGCUAGAGUCAACCAAGUCAGUGUUGAUGCUAUCGCUGAUGGAGCUGAUAUCACUAUUGGUACGUUUUACAUUAAUUAAGUUCCUACAACCAUAUUAUUUGCUUCUGGAGCUACGUAUUCGUUUAUUUCUGCUCGCUAUGUCAACACAAAUGAGUUAUCACUUCAAACUAUGCAAAAAUCACUGAUAGUAAUUACCCCUAAAGGGCCUAUUGAGGCAAAUUAUAUGAACAACAGACUAACACUAACAAUUAUGGGAAGGGAGUUCUAGUCUAUGCCUAUAGUAUUAGAGGAGAUCAGUAUAGAUCUGACACUUGGUAUGUCAUGGUUAAGAAAAGCAAAGGCAGUUAUACAUUGCGCUAGGGGAACCGUAUAACUCACUAGUCCAAAAGGAGAAAGAUUUGAAGUCAUAAUUACCGUAACCCCCUCUACUAGACCCGUUGUUUAUCUAGUAGAUGGUAAAUUUGUGAGCAGAAAUCUCCGUGUGGUUAGAGAUUUCCCAGAUGUCUUUUCAGAGGAGUUACCCGGGAUGCCACCAGAUAGGGAAGUUGAAUUUGUUAUUGAUCUAUUACCUGGAACUGCACCUAUUUCAAAAAGACCAUACAUGAUGUCAGUAGAAGAACUAAAAGAACUUAAGAACAAUUAACAGAGUUACAGGAGGUAGGGUACAUUCGUCUGAGUUCCUCACCUUGGGGAGCACUGGUUCUGUUUGUACAGAAGAAGGAUGGUUCACAAAGGAUGUGCGUUGAUUAUAGAUCACUUAAUGAUGUCACCAUUAAAAACAAGUAUCCUUUACCUCGUAUUGAAUAAAUAUUUAUUUGAUCAAAUGAGAGGUGCUAGGGUAUUUUCUAAGAUUGAUCUCAGAUUGAGUUAUCACCAAAUGAAGAUUAGGCCUUCUGAUAUUCCCAAGGCGACUUUCUCUACCCGAUAUGGUCUAUAUGAGUUCACGGUCAUGUUGUUUGGCUUAACUAAUGCACUAGCCUACUUCAUGAAUCUGAUGAACAAGGUGUUCAUGGAGUAUCUCGAUAGAUUCAUUGUAGUAUUCAUCGACGACAUUCUUAUUUAUUCCAAGAAUGAUAGUGAGCAUGAGGAACAUCUAAGGAUGGUGCUAUAGAAGUUACAGGAUAAUCAACUCUAUGCCAAGUAUAGCAAGUGUGAAUUCUGGAUUGACAAAGUACCAUUCCUUAGACACAUCAUCUCCAAUGGAGGGAUAUCAGUGGAUCCGGCUAAAGUAAGAGAUAGUGGGAUGGAAGAUACCAAGCUCGGUUAGUGAAAUCCAGAGCUUCUUGGGACUUGCAGGGUAUUAUCGACGAUUUAUUAAGGGAUUCUCCAAGAUUGCUAAGCCUAUAACCUCACUAUUAGAGAAGGUGAUAGUCGCCUAGAGCGGGUGGAAUAGGUGAAACCUGAAAUUUAUAAACUUAAACUUGCACUAAGGCCGGGGUUAGUGUUAGAAUUAAAUUCAAGUGCGGAAAAUUGUUUCUCUUGCUAUGAGUUGCUCAAUUAAUGCGGAUGACGUUUGGGAGCAAACUCAAAUCAAUACUAGCAAAGAAACUUUAGAAAGAGGAAAGAGGGCAAAUAAAUCAAGCGAAGAUCAAUGCAAGUGAGCACGGUGAUUUGUUUUAUCGAGGUUCGGUUCCAAAGAACCUAGUCCCUGUUGAGGAGGCCACAAAGGCCAGGUCCAUUCCAACCCUUUCCCUCUCUCAAACGGUCACUUAGACCGGAUGAGCUUUCUCCUUAAUCACUUGGGUCACUAGGACCCCACAAGGAUCACCACACACUUAGGUGUCUCUUGCUAGCUUUACAAAGCACUUAUGAGAAUAAGAAUAGAGGAGGACAAAGCAAUCCAAGCAACAAGAGCAAUAAAUGAACACAAAACUCUUUCUCUCAAGUCUCUAAGUGGUUGAGUUGAUUUUGAGGCUUGGAGAGGAUUUGAUCUUUGGAAUGUGUCUUGGAGUGAAUGCUAUUGCUCUUGUAUUGAAUAGGAACUUCAGAAAACUUGGAUGCCAUUGAAGGAGGUGGUUGGGGGGUAUUUAUAGCCUCCAACCACUUCCUAGUUGUUGGCUGUUUUUGCUGCUGAUGGGCACACGAGACAGUCCGGUGGCGCACCGGACAUGUACUGUUCACUGUCCGGUGCGCGCCUCGUAAGCAUGCCCGUUGGGGUUUGGAGCGGUCGACCAUUGGAACCCUUUGUCCUCUAGCGGCACCGGACAGUCCGGUGGCACACCGAACAUGUCCGGUGCGUUCUGACUUCGCCGCCUGACAUCUGCUCGCGCAUUGUUCGUUUUUACUGUUCACUGCAGUCGACCAUUGGCGCCAGGUUACCGUUGCUCCGUUGGCUCACCAGACAUGUCCGGUGCACACCGGACAGUCCGGUGAAUUAUAGCGGAGCGCGCCUAGAAGAAACACGAGAGUGAGUUGUUCGAGAGCUGCUCGGCCUAGUGCACCGGAUACUGUCCAGUGCGCCACUUGCGGCACACUCUCAAUUACUUUGCUCCGAAUCUAUUUGAGUCCCCAACGUAAUUUCUUUCUUGGUUUGUGUUGAACUUUAUGCACCUGAGAUAAAUGACAUCUAGGCAAACUAGUUAGUCCACAUGGUUUGUGAUGGACGUCAACCACCAAAAUCGAUUAUCGGAAAUGAUUAAGCUCAUUUCCCGUUCAAUCUCCCCCUUUUUGGUGAUUGAUGCCAACACAAACCAAAGCAAAUGUAAAGUGUAAAACUGUAACUAGUUUGCAGUUAUAAUUGAUGUGCAUAGGUUACUUAGAAUUAAACCAAUUGAAAGACUUUAUACAUAUGUCUAAGAAUAAACAUGAUUGCUUUCUUCUAUUUAACAUUUUGGACCACAUUUGCACCACUUUCUUGAUUUUGCAAAUCUUUUGGAAAAAUCUUUUCAAAUUCUUUUGCAAAUAGUCAAAGGUAUAAGAAUAUGAUUUCAAGAAGCAUUCUCAAGAUUUUGAAAUUUCUCCCCUUGUUUCAAAUGCUUUUCCUUUGACUAAAUGAAAGCUCCCCCUGAAGAAAUUCUCCCCUUAGCUUUCAAGAGGCUUUUUGAAAUGAUUUUCCCUUUUUGGAAUAGAUACCAAUUGAAAUUUAAACCAAUUGAAAUUCUUAUACUUAGUGAAAUUUUGAAACCAAAAGAGAUACCAAUUGAAAAUCCAUUUUGAGACUAACUCAAAUACUAAUUGAAAUAAACACUAAUGAAGUAAUUUCUUCCUUUAUUUUUGAAAAUUUUGAAAUGGUGGUGUGGUCCUUUUGUUUUAGGCUUAAUACUUUCUCCCCCUUUGCAUUAAUCGCCAGAAACAGAGAACUUGAGAGCCAUUUUUAAUUCUCCCCUUAUGGGGCCUAAUACUUUCUCCCCAAUUGGUAAAAGAAAUAUGAGUGAAGGGUUAUACCAAUUGAGAGUUCCCAGAGUAACGACAAAGGAUGAAAGAUACUGUCAGAUUUGGAGUGGAAGCCUUGUCUUUGUCGAAUACUCCAUUUCCCUUUCAAUCUAAGACUAAUCAUAGAGAUAUACUUGAAAGCACAUUAGUCUUAGCGUUGGUACAAGAAGAAUAAGAAAUAUGCAUUUGUACCAAAUAAAAGAGACAUAAUCAAAGGUAUAUAAAUUAGCUAUGUGUGCGAUGUUUCAAUCAAAGUUCCGAGAAUCAAGUAUAUUUAGCUCAUUCCUAAGUUUGUUGAAAGUCUUUUCAUCUAAUGGAUUGGUCAAGAUAUUGGCUAAUUGGUUGUGAGUGUUAACAUAAGUAAUUUCGAUAUCCCCCUUUUGUUGGUGAUCUCUCAGAAAGUGAUACCGGAUGUCUAUGUGCUUAGUGCGGCUGUGUUCAACGGGAUUAUCCGCCAUGGGAAUUGCACUCUCAUUAUCACAUAGGAGAGGGACUUUGCUCAAUUUGUAGCCAUAGUCCCUAAGAGUUUGCCUCAUCCAAAAUAAUUGUGCACAGCAAUGACCUACAGCAAUAUACUCGGCUUCGGCGGUGGAUAGAGCCACUGAGUUUUGUUUCUUUGAAGCCCAAGACACCAGAGAUCUUUCCAGAAACUGACAAGUCCCUGAUGUGUUCUUCCUAUCAAUUUUACAUCCAGCAUAAUCGGCAUCAGAAUACCCAAUUAAAUCAAAGGUAGAUCCCUUGGGGUACCAAAGCCCAACCUUAGGAGUGUAAACUAAAUAUCCCAUGAUUCUUUUCACGACCCUAAGGUGAACUUCCUUAGGAUUUGCCUCGAACCUUGCACACAUGCAUACUUAAAGCAUAAUAUCCGAUCGUGAAGCACAUAAAUAGAGUAAGGAUCCUAUCAUCCACUGGUAUACCUUUUGAUCUACAAAUUUACCUCCCGUGUCGAGGUCGAGAUGCCCAUUUGUUCCCAUGGGUGUCUUGAUGGGUUUGGCAUUCUUCAUUCCAAACUUCUUAAGGAUGUCUUUAAUGUACUUAGUUUGGCUGAUGAAGGUGCCCUCUUGGAGUUGCUUGAUUUGAAAUCCAAAGAAAUACUUCAACUCCCCCAUCAUUGACAUCUCGAAUUUCUGUAUCAUAAUCCUACUAAACUCUUCACAAGAUGACUUUUUAGUAGACCCAAAUAUGAUAUCAUCAACAUAAAUUUGGCAUAUAAACAAGUCUUUAGCAAUAGUUUUAGUGAAGAGGGUAGGAUCAGCUUUUCCAACUUUGAAGCCAUUAGUGAUAAGGAAGUCUCGCAGGCAUUCAUACCAUGCUCUUGGAGCUUGUUUGAGCCCAUAAAGCGCCUUUUAGAGUUUAUAAAUAUGGUUAGGAUACUCACUAUCUUCAAAGCCGGGAGGUUGCUCAACAUAGACCUCUUCUUUGAUAGGGCCGUUGAGGAAGGCACUUUUCACAUCCAUUUGAUAUAACUUAAAUCCAUGGUAAGUAGCAUAGGCAAGUAAUAUACGAAUUGAUUCAAGCCUAGCUAUGGGUGCAUAGGUUUCAUCAAAAUCCAAACCUUCAACUUGUGAAUAUCCUUUUGCAACAAGUCGGGCUUUGUUCCUUGUCACCACACUAUGCUCAUCUUGUUUGUUGCGGAAUACCCACUUGGUACCUACAACAUUCUGGUUAGGACGUGGAACCAAAUGCCAUAUCUCAUUCCUCGUGAAGUUGUUGAGCUCCUCUUGCAUUGCCACCACCCAAUCGGAUAUCUUAGUGCAUCCUCUACCCUGUAUGGCUCAAUAGAAGACACAAAAGAGUAAUGUUCACAAAAAUGUGCAACUCGAGAUCUAGUGGUUACCCCCUUGUGAAUGUCACCAAGUAUGGAGUUGACGAGGUGAUCUCUUUGAAUUGCUUGGUGGAAUCUUGGGUGUAGCGGUCUUUGAUCACGAAUUUCUUGAUCAUCUUCCUUGUCUUCAUGAUCAUCAUCUCCCCCUUGAUUAAUGUCCUCCUCUUGAGGUGGCUCAUCAUCUUGGUCUUCAUCCUCUUCUUCUUGAGCCUCACCCUCAUCUUGAGUUGGUGGAGAUGCUUGUUUGGAAGAUGACGGUUGAUCUUGUGUUUGUGGAGGCUCCUCGGAUUCCUUUGGACACACAUCCCCAAUGGACAUGUUUCUUAGUGCAACACACAGAGCCUCUUCAUCAUCUAGUUCAUCAAGAUCAACUUUCUCCACUUGGGAGCCAUUAGUUUCAUCAAACACAAUGUCACAAGAAACUUCAACUAAUCCAGUGGACUUGUCGAAAACUCUAUAUGCCCUUGUGUUUGAGUCAUAACCAAGUAAAAAGCCUUCUACUUCUUUAGGAGCAAAUUUAGAAUUUCUACCUCUUUUAAUAAGAAUAAAGCAUUUGCUCCUAAAGACUCUAAAAUAAAAAACAUUGGGCUUUUUACCGGUGAGGAGUUCAUAUGAUGUUUUCUUAAGGAUUCAGUGAAGAUAUAACCAGUUGAUGGAGUAGCAUGCGGUGUUAAUCGCCUCCGCCCAAAAUUGAUCCGGUGUUUUGUACUCAUCAAGCAUGGUUCUUGCCAUGUCCAAUAGAGUUCUAUUCUUCUUCUCCACUACACCAUUUUGUUGAGGUGUGUAGGGAGAAGAGAACUCAUGCUUGAUGCCCUCCUCCUCAAGAAAUCCUUCAAUUUGUGAAUUCUUGAACUUCGUUCCAUUAUCGCUUCUAAUCUUUUUUAUUCUCAAUCCGAACUCAUUUUGAGCUCGUCUUAAGAAUCUCUUUAAGGUCUCUUGGGUUUGAGAUUUUUCCUACAAAAAGAACACCCAAGUGAAGCGAGAAUAGUCAUCCACAAUUACAAGACAAUACUUAACCCCGCCGAUGCUUAUGUAAGCGAUCGGGCCAAAUAGAUCCAUGUGGAGUAGCUCAAGCGACCUGUCGGUCGUCAUGAUGUUCUUGUGUGGAUGAUGGACUCCAACUUGCUUCCCUAUUUGGUAUUUCGCUACAAAUCCCGUCUUUCUCAAAAUGAACAUUUGUUAGUCCUAAAAUGUGCUCUCCCUUUAGAAGCUUGUGAAGAUUCUUCAUCCCAACAUGGGCAAGUCGAUGAUGCCAGAGUCAGUCCAUAUUAGUCUUAGCAAUUAAGCAAGUGUCUAGUUCAGCUUUGUUAUCAUUAAAAUCAACUAAAUAUAGCUGAUCAUCUAACACUCCCUUAAAUGCUAUUUAAUCAUCACUUCUUCUAAAGGGAGUAACACCUAUAUCAGUGAAUAAAUAGUUGUAGCCUAUUUUGCAUAAUUGAGGAACUAAAAGCAAAUUGUAGUCUAAAGAAUCUACAAGAAAAACAUUUGAAAUAGAAUGGUCAGGAGAUAUAGCAAUUUUACCCAAACCUUUGACCAAACCUUGAUUUCCAUCCCGAAUGUAAUAGCUCUUUAGGGAUCUUCAUUUUUCUCAUAUGAGGAGAACAUCCUUUUCUCCCCUGUCAUGUGGUUUGUGCACCCGCUAUCAAUUAUCCAACUUGAUCCACCGGAUGCAAAAACCUACUAAACAAAUUUAGGCCUUGUUCUUAGGUACCCAAAUGGUCUUGGGUCCUUUCACAUUAGAAACAAGCACCUUGGGCACCCAAACACAAGUUUUUGGACUCUUGUGUUUGCCCCCAACAUAUUUGGCAACUACUUUGCCUGAUUUGUUAGUAAGCACAUAAGAUGCAUCAAAAGUUUUAAAUGAAAUGUUAUGCUCAUUUGAUGCAUUAGGGAUUUUCCUUUUAGGCAUUUUGAUAUGACUGGUGUUGGGGACUUGUUCUCAAAUGCUAUGAAUUAAGAACAAGGCAACACAAAAUGUUAAAGGUUAAUGUCCUUCGUCCUUCGAAACAUUAUUUCCCUUAGGAUAUAAUGGUCUUUAGACGAAGGUCAUGAAGGACGUACCUUCAUCAUCGCAAUAUAUGUUAAUGAAAGGGGAAGUAUGUGAAAUAUAAGAGACAAUAUGAAUGAUCAUCGUAUAGCAUUAUUAAUUCAACUUUAUUAUAUCAUCAUGGGAAGGUAGAAACAAUAUUGAAUUACAAAAGUACCUUCGGCUCGACAGAAGGCAAAAAGUACAAUUGUGACACAAAAGCAAGUAUGAGUCAGCGUGAACAGUACGGGGUACUGUUCAUCUAUUUAUAGGCACAGGAUGCAACCUGUGAGAAAUUACACUCAUGCCCUUUGCAUUUGCUAUUAGCUUAUAGAAAAUUCUAUGAGGACUGAAUGGCCUUUUCCCCUUUAAGUCGGUUCCUUUUCUCGUGAUUGAGUUGAAGCUCCUUUGUGCAUGGCUUUGGAGCGACAACAACCUUCGUCACGAUCAUGUCCCUAUCCUGUAUGCCCUUUAGUCCUGAAUCCGAAGGUACCUGUUUAUAAAUCAGACUUGACAAACACUGUUAAAUUACGUUUUUGAGGACCUUCGGAGGACGAAGGCCCCCAACAGUAGCCCCUCGCAGUAUUAAUUUGUUUAAGAUAACGAAUUCAGACUGCGACAUGGACGAAGGCCUUAAGCCGAAGGUCCAAAAAAACAUCUUCCCUUUGCUAGAAUAGCAACAGUCAAUGACAAAUGGGACCCUCCAAUUUGAGCGUGCCGAUUGUAUAAAUAAGAACUCACCCUGAGCAUAUUUGGUAUGCUACUUGCCGCUUGCUUUGUUUGCUCAAUUUUUUUUAGCUCUUGCUUACCAACGCUUGCUUAAUUUCUCAGACUUCCUAAGCUUCAGUUUAAGGACACAUUUUCGCCAUUUCCGAAGACAAAAUGUCUCAAGACAAAAAAGCUGCUGCCGAGACGAAGCUGAGCGAAGAGGAGAAGCUCCUUGAGGAGAAGACUGCUGGAUUUGUUGAGUCAAUAGCAAAAACAAACACGGAGAAGAUUACCAAAGAGAUACUAGAAGGCUUGUCUGAAGAUACUGAUGAUAGCGAUAGCUAUGAUGUGGAAAGUGGAGGCGAAGACUCUGAAGAUCGGCCCUGGCGACCAAGUCACGCAGUCUUCGGGAAUUCAACUAUCAAACAGAGUCAUCUUGAUAAUAUGAGAGGAAGAUAUUUUCGAGAUAUGUCUAUUGUGAGGGCUGACGUAGACAGAGUCGUUCCUGCUCCCGAAGAGAACAAAAUUGUAAUCUACCGAAGCUUCUUCAAAGCUGGACUUCGGUUCUCGUUGAGCAGAUUUGUGGUUGAAGUUUUAAAGACGUACCAGAUUUUCCUUCACCAGAUCACUCCCAAAGCAGUUAUUAGAAUGAGGAUCUUCGUCUGGGCUGUGAGGAGUCAAGGUCUAGAGCCAAGUGCAAGAUGUUUUUGCAGCAUGCAUGAACUUUUGUACGAGACGAAGCCCUAGGGUAAAGAACAAUAUCAUAACAAUUUUGGUUGCUAUAGCUUCGUUGCUCGCUCUGGCGCAAGCUACCCAGUGCCAACGUUUUGGAAGAGGUGGCCCGGGGCCUGGAUGGAAGAAUGGUUUUACGUGAAAAAUGAUUUGAAGGCAAGAGAAGACAUUAAAGAAAUCAUCAUGCGACCCAUCUGGUCCCGCUUCGGCCUUCGAAAGCCGAAGGUAGAAAUUGAUGAGGCGGCCAAAGCAUGCCGAAGGGCCUUCAGCACAGUUUGUUCUUUUAUUGGGACAAGAGACUUAGUUCAAGAACAUGUAGCCUACAGGAUAUGGCCACUGAUAGUCAGCUGGGAAAUGCCGAAAGAAACCAUCACUAACCCUAGCGAAGGCGGCCUGGUUCGAUUGAAAUACACCUUCAGGUUUGGAGACCAGUUUGUCAAACCAGAUGACGACUGGCUGAAGUGUGUUGAAAAUACUAGCGAUGAGUUACUUGGAGCAUAUUCCAAGUCCGAAGAUAAUGCACUAUCUGCGGCCUUCGGGAGUCGAAAAAAGAAAAGAUUAAAUAAGGUUUUUGAUGCUAUUGGAUUUGUGUACCCUGACUAUCGCUACCCGCCACGGGGGCAAAAAAGAAAGGGCGCAACCUCUGGAAAGGUUGCCGCUUCGGCUGCUCCAAGCGAGCCUGCGCCGAAGAGGAAAAAACUGAAGGUCCCUACCCACCGACCAUGCUACAUUGAACCGGCCAUAGUGCCUGAGUUUGGCGGGGAAACUUCUUCAGCUGCUGCUCCAAAAGAGCCAAUUCCUUCUAAGCAGAAGGCUGAAGAACCGGCCACCAUGCCAAAGGCCCCCCCGGCCGAGCAAGCUGAGGCAAAGACUAGUAAAGACAAGGCCGAAGAGCCAAAGACUGAAGGAUCAAAAAUGUUAGAAGUUUUGAGCCCUUCGGCGGAAAUAACAGUGUCGAAGAUACAAAAAGGUCUUGCGGCCACUCCUAAAAUAAAAAGGAUGGAAAGUGUACUAGAUGUGCUAGAGUCAGUAAAGGCUUCAAGCUCUAUUUCUUCAGGGAAAAUUGUCGAGGCUUCGAAAACGCAAAUUGAAGCCAAAACAAAACUGACCGAAGCUGAAGCUGCAACGAGCCAGGCUAGCGCCGAAGCUGGGCCUUCAGAACUUGCUAAGGAGAAACCCUUGGAAAUUAGAGAGAAGGUAGCAGAAGAAGAGGCUAUAGAACAGACUUUGCCUGAAAAAGCUCCCGCUCCUACUCCCGAAGCAACUUCCGAAGAUCUUGAUUAUGUUAUUCGACACGCUUCGGGAAAAAGAUUAUCUGAGGAAGAAAUUUUUGAAGCUAAACACUAUGCCCGAGAACUGAAGUACCCGAAAGGGGCCUUAGUGUUUAAUGGCACGGAUGAAGAUGAUUUCUUGUAUUGUCUCCCAGACAACAAAGAAUUAUCCGUCUGCCGGGAGAUGGCCAGAAGUAUGGGUUUUCCGAAGCUCGAAGCUAGCCUCAGUGCUGUGACGAAGGACGAUCUUGCGGAUAGCCUUGCAUACAACAGUCUGAAGGUACAAAAGUUGUGAAUUUUGAAGUUUAUGGAUUCUGUAAUAGAGCCUUUUGCUCUCAUGUUAAUCCAUUCAUUCUUUCUUGUAGGGCUUAAUACUUAGCAACGCCUUAAGGGCGCAAAAGAAUGCUGAAGACGAGAGCUGCACUAUUGCUCUCAACAACCUUCGAACAGAGGUUAUUAAGCUGAGAAACGAAGCCACGUAAAAAGACAAAUUUCUACUUACAUUAGUGGACAAAGUAAAGGGGGAUGAAGCCAACUUCAAGGCUCAAUCUGAAACUCAAAAGAAUGAGAUUGAAGACCUUUGAAAACAACUGGCUGAGGCCAAAUUAAAAUGUGCUGUUGCCGAAGCUGACCGAGAUGCCAGUGAGUACUGGACAAAUUAUUUUGAAAAAAUAGUUGCAGAGCUUCGCGCAUCAAAAGAAAGAUGUUUUGAAAAAUCUGUAGAAUGUGUAAAAAAGAUAAAGACUAGCUUUGCCAACGUGGGCGCCUACUCAAAUGAAGACAACUUCAUACGGGGCGACCCUGAGGGCGUAAUUGAGUAGAUCAGCGGUGAAGCCGAAGCUUUUGAAGAGAUUUUGAGUGACCGCGGGGACGUCUGUGCAUUUUUUGGUGCAAGGGGAGUUGCAGCCAUUCUGGAGAAGGCAGGUUGCGAACAUGUUAAAAACAUGGCUCAGGCCGAAGUUGCCUUUUCCAUCGACGAUACGAAGGACCCCUCGACCGAAGCAAGCUCAAUAGGCGGAAAUUUUUUUACUGAUAUCUGGGAAAAUGGUGGCCGAGGGAUGGCCCAUGAAAUAAUAAAGAAAAACGAAAAAGAUAUUCAUGACGCUCGAGAAACAAAGAAAGCAGCUGAAAAGGCUGCGGAACUUGAAAGACGGAUAGGUAUUACUUAAUGGCUUUUAACUUUGUUGUUUAUUUUUGUGACUUCGAACUAAUUUAUGUAUUCUACCGCAGCUGAACUAUCUCCUCCCCCAGAGCCAUUCGACCCACUGGCCGAUCCAGAGACAAAAAACAAUAGAAAUUAUUAAUAUGGCCGAAGCUAUUGUAGAUGAAGUUGUUACCAAGCUGCUAACCGAAGCUGCAGAAAAAGUUCUGAAGGAAGAGGAGUAACUAUUGUAAAAACGUUUUCUAGAAUAUUAAUGUAACAUUUGCUGAACUAUAUUUGUAAUAUUCAGUGCUUAUAGAUUUGAAUGUAAUAUAUGAGUGGUUUGUAAUUCAGUUCUUUGCGAUGCAUGAAACUUUUUGUACAUACCGUUUUUGAGCCUCCGGCGAAAAAACACCUUCCCUUCUUUUCAUGCUUCGUAAAGAAGAGCUUUUAUGCUUCGUAAGAAUCAUCCAUACUUUGUAAAACAUCAAUGCUUCGUACACAAUAAAUCCCUUUCUUCGCAUUAGAACUAAUGAAGCUGUGAUUCUCUACUUACGUUGUGCCUUGGCAUCUUUUCAUUUUUUGUAAAGCAUUGCCCGAAGAUCGGCCUCGUUUUCAAUUGAUGUCAUUGAUGUGGUAUGAUGUAUGAUGUGAUGCUAUGCGAUAUGAUGCGAUGAUAUGAUGCGAAGAAUGAUGCUAAUGUAUCGUGCAAAUGAACGCCCAAACACACACAUCCGAAGCUUCAUCCACAACCUUCAUUCCCUAAGGAAUGACUGAAAUCUCUUUGUCGUUUAUUUUUCGGCUGCACCGUUUAUUUUUUGGUGUAAGUUCUGCAUUCCCUAAGGAACGUAUUUUGAACUUCUUCGCCUUCUAUUUCGGUGGUAUUCGCGUUGACUUUUUGCGCUUCGCCUUAUAUUUCGGCGGUAUUUGGCUCUGCAUUCCCUAAGGAACGACUUUUGAGCAGAAAACUUACAUUGUGUUCCCUUGAGAACGGCUUUUUGAAGCUUCGGCAACUUACGCUGCGCUCUUUAAGAACGAGUUUUUGUAGCUUCGGCGAAACUUUCACUGCGAUUUUUAGCUCUGCAUUCCUAAAGGAAUAUCUCUUUGUAGCUUCGGCACUCUCGUAAGUCUGAGACGAAGGUAUAUUUCAUUUUGAUAUAAACAAAGCUAGUACAGGAAAUUAAAAAAUAACAAGAAAACUAGGUUUACAUUGAUUGUUCCUUAUUAAAAAGAAAACAACAGUGAAUGUAAAAUUUUGCCAAAGGUAGGAUAUCUCUCAAUAUAUGUGUUUUGAUUCUGGCACAGUAUUGUUAACUGUGCGAGCUUUGGACCCCUCCCUGAAAUCUCGCUGCUGAUGGGUCUGUUGACUCCCUUCUUGCUGCUGACCUCAUGAGUAGGCAGGCUGUAGUGGCGGCGGAGGUGGAAGCUGUGGCCAAUAAACUUGCGACUGACUAGCCGAAGCAACAGAAGCUGCGGGAUGAUUACCCACAUAUUCUGGUAUGUAGGGUGAAUGACACGAAGCAGUGUGCAGGACCUGCUUCGGUUGACUUUGCCGGGCUUUGGCUUCUGCAAUCUCUUUUUGCUUUUGGAUGGUGAUUUGACACGUUCUUGUAUUGUGGCCCUUGUCUUCACCAUAAAAUAGGCAGUAGAUCUUCCUGGGCUGGUCCCCAUAUCUUCCUUUGAAGCCCCUGGCGCCUCUGCCUCUUGGAGCUGGCGGCCGGAAAGAGCUUUGUUGCUGCCCCGAAGCUUGCGAAGAAUAUUGCGGCCUCUGCUGUUGACCUCCUCUGUCAUCACUCUGGGUGGAGUUGUGAAUUGACCUGACGUGCCUUGGAUGAAUUCUUCCUCUGAAGCCCCUAGUCAUUUCAGAGAACCUAUAUGCUUCCUCCCUUCUUUGGCGGAAGUCAUUGUCAGCCCGGAUGUAUUCAUCCAUCUUCUGAAGCAGCUUCUCCAGAGUCUGUGGGGGCUUUCUAGCGAAAUACUGAGCAGUAGGUCCCAGACGAAACCCCUUAAUCAUGGACUCAAUGACAAUUUCAUUGGGUACUGUAGGCGCUUGUGCUCUAAGACGCAAGAACCUUCGGACAUAUGCCUGGAGGUACUCUUCAUGAUCUUGCAUGCAUUGAAACAAGGCCUGAGUUGUGACUGGCUUCGUCUGGAAGCCUUGGAAACUUGUCACCAACAUAUCCUUGAGCUUCUGCCACGAAGUAAUGGUUCCUGGCCGAAGGGAAGAAUACCAUGUUUGAGCUACAUUCCGAACUGCCAUGACAAAGGACUUGGCCGACAGCUGCAUUGCCUCCAUAUGAAGAUAUAGUUGCUUCAUAACUCAUCAAAAACUGCUUCGGGUCUAAAUGUCCAUCAUACAUGGGAAGCUGAGGUGGCUUGUAUGAUGGGGGCCAUGGGAUAGCCUACAAUUCUGUUGUCCAGGGAGAAGCAUCAUCAAAAGUAAAGGUAUCAUGAUUAAAAUCAUCAUACCAUCCAUCAUCGUUGAACAAUCCCUCUUGAUGAAGCUCCCUGUGUUGGGGCCUUCGAUCUUGGUCGUCUUGAGCAAGAUGGCAUACUUCUUCAAUGGCUUCGUCAAUUUGCCUUUGAAGAUCAGCCAGUUGGGCCAUCUUCUCCUUCUUCCUUUGUACUUGUUGAUGGAUUAUCUCCAUGUUUCUGAUUUCUUGGUCCAACUCCUCCUCCUGGAGUGUUGGACUAGUGGCCUUCCUCUUCUGGCUUCGGGCCUCUCGAAGAGAAAGGGUCUCCUAAUUUGGGUCCAGUGGCUGCAGUGCGGUAGCCCCUGGCACUGAAGCUUUCUUCGGUGGCAUGACGAAGGUCAGUGCUUGCCGAAGGUGGUCGAAAAGGGUUCACCGGAGGUGGGCGCCAAUGUUGGGGACUUGUUCUCAAAUGCUAUGAAUUAAGAACAAGGCAACACAAAAUGUUAAAGGUUAAUGUCCUUCGUCCUUCGAAACAUUAUUUCCCUUAGGAUAUAAUGGUCUUUAGACGAAGGUCAUGAAGGACGUACCUUCAUCAUCGCAAUAUAUGUUAAUGAAAGGGGAAGUAUGUGAAAUAAAGAGACAAUAUGAAUGAUCAUCGUAUAGCAUUAUUAAUUCAACUUUAUUAUAUCAUCAUGGGAAGGUAGAAACAAUAUUGAAUUACAAAAGUACCUUCGGCUCGAUAGAAGGCAAAAAGUACAAUUGUGACGCAAAAGCAAGUAUGAGUCAGCGUGAAUAGUACGGGGGUACUAUUCAUCUAUUUAUAGGCACAUGAUGCAACCUGUGAGAAAUUACACUCAUGCCCUUUGCAUUUGCUAUUAGCUUAUAGAAAAAUCUAUGAGGACUGGAUGGCCUUUUCCCCUUUAAGUCGGUUCCUUUUCUCGUGAUUGAGUCGAAGCUCCUUUGUGCAUGGCUUCAGAGCGGCAACAACCUUCAUCACGAUCAUGUCCCUAUCCUGUAUGCCCUUUAGUCCUGAAUCCGAAGGUACCUGUUUAUAAAUCAGACUUGACAAACACUGUUAAAUUACGUUUUUGAGGACAUUCGGAGGACGAAGGCCCCCAACAAGUGGAAUGCCUAGAGCUAGAGGCCUCAUUUCUAUACAUAAAAGCAUGAUGAGAAACAUUGUGAGGUCUUCUAGCAUGAAUCUUUCUAAUCUUAUGCUCAGGAUAGUUUGCAGGAUAUAAAAUGUAGCCUUCUCUAUCCUAAACCAUGGGAGCCUUACACUUAACAAAAUUAGAUAAUUUCUUGGGGGCAUUAAGUUUAGGGAUGUUCCUAAAACAUCCGACUUGUAUCACAAACCUAAUAUUUUAGCAUAGAUAUACAUAGAAUUUAAAGCUAAUUUUUGGCAAUGUUACUAAGAAUAUUAUGAAGUAUUUAAAUAAAUUUUUAUACUAUUUUUUAUGUAUAUUAUUUUCUCCCUACAACAAAAAGGUGAAAAAACAUCCGAAUUCAUAUUCGAAUAGACAUCCGAAUUUUAUAUCAAUUAUUUAAAAAAUAUAUAGAAUGAAUUUAAUGUUUAUUUUUUUGUGAAGAUUAAUAGCCUCAAUGCUAAAAACAAGAAUAUAAAUUUAUAUAACAAAUUAUAUAUGUUAUUUGUUCAUAAUCGAAGAAAGAAGACCAAAAAUUUGACAUCCAAAUAAAUAUCUGGAUCCAUCCCUAAUUAAGUUUGGUGUUGUUUUGGCUCCCUUGUUGGGUGCCAAUGUCAUCCUUAAUGUCAGGGUGUCUCCCUUUAUAAAGCAUGCUAUGAGCAAAUUUAAACUUUUCAUUUUCUAGUUCAUGCUCAGCAAUUUUAACAUUUAAUUUAGCUAUGUGAUCAUUUUGUUCUUUAAUCAUGGCAAGGUGAUCAUCAAUAGCUUCAACAUUAACAUCUCUACAUCUAGUACAGAUAGUGACAUGUUCAACAGUAGAUGUAGAGGGUUUGCGGUUAUUCAGUUCUUCUAUCUUAGCAUUUAAACCAGCAUUCUCAUUUCUAAGACAGGAAAUUGAAUCAUUGCAAAUGCUAAGAUCCUUAGAUAAGUUUUCACAUUUCUCUAUUUCUAGAGCAUAAGCAUUUUUAACUUAACAAAUUUUUUAUUUUCUUUAACGAGCAAGUCCUCUUGGCAUUCCAAGAAAUCAUCCUUCUCGUUAAUGGUUUCUAUUAAUUCAUUUAAUUUUUUUUCUUUUGGUCCAUGGUAAGGUUGCCAAAGAGAGAAACUAAAUCAUCUUCAUUAUCACUAGAGCUGCCCUCAUCAUCAGAUGUAGUGUAUUUGGGGGUAACUCUAGAAUGUACCUUCUUCUUGUCGUCCUUAGCCAUGAGACACUUGUGGCCGACGUUGGGGAAGAGAAGUCUCUUGUUGAUGGCGAUGUUGGUGGCGUCCUCGUCGGUGGAGCUCUCGUCGGAGUCUCAUUCCCGCCCCAUGUGCGCCUCGCCAGCCUUCUUCUUGUAGUACCUUUUCUUCUCCAUUUUCUUCUUCCCUUUCUUGUCGUCGUCCCUGUCACUUUCACUUGUAUAUGGACAUUUUGCAAUGAAGUGACUAGACUUACCACACCUAUAGCACAUCCUUUUGGAACGGGGUUUGUAAUCCUUCCCCUUCCUUUGCUUGAGGAUUUGUCGAAAUUUCUUAAUGAUAAGAGCCAUUUCCUCGUUGUUGAUCUUGGAGGCGUCGAUUGGUAGUCUACUUAGUGUAGACCCCUCCUUCUUUUCUUCCGUUGCUUUGAAUGCAACGGGUUGCACCUCGGGUGUAGAGGUGGCGCCUUGCUCCAAGUUGACAAUGUGUUUGGAGUCUUUGAUCAUAAGUUCAAAGCUCACAAACUUGCCAAUUACCUCCUCAGGAGACAUCUGUUUAUAUCUAGGGUCUCCACGGAUUAGUUGCACUUGAGUGGGAUUACGAAAAACAAGAGAUCUAAGAAUAACCUUGACCAUCUCAUGGUCAUCCCACUUGGUGCUCCCGAGGUUGCAAACUUGGUUGACCAUCAUCUUGAGCCAGUUAUACAUUGCUUGUGGCUCCUCUCCUUUGUUGAGGACAAAUCGACCGAGUUCUCCCUCGAUCGUUUCACGCUUGGUGAUCAUGGUCACCUCGUCCUCUUCAUGCGCCGUUUUGAGGACGUCCCAAAUUUCUUUGGCAUUUUUCAACCCUUGCACCUUAUUAUACUCCUCUCGACAUAAGGAGGCGAGGAGUAUAGAAGUUGCUUGGGAGUUGAAAUGCCUAAUUUGGGUGGCCUCGUCCGAGUCAUAGUCCUCAUCGCCCACCUGUGGUGCCUGCGCUCCAAACUCAACAAUAUCACAUAUGCUUUCGUGGAGUGAGGUUAGAUGGUGCCUCAUUUUAUCACUCCACAUACAAUAAUCUUCACCAUCAAAAUAUGGUGGUUUGCCUAGGGGUACGAAAAGUAGAGGAGCACGCUUUGAAAUGCGAGGGUAGCGAAGAGGCAUCUUACUAUACUUUUUGCGCUCGUGACGCUUUGAAGUUGUAGACUCGGCGCCGGAUGUGGAGGGUGAUGAAGAGUCGGUAUCGUAGUAGACCACUUUCUUCGUUUUCUUUUUCUACUUGUCACCCCUCAUAUGUGACUUGAUGGAGGAAGAGGAUUCCUCCUUGUAAUUGUCGCCGGACUCUCUUGAUAGAGUCCUUCCCGAGCCUACGGCCUUAUCGCCGGUGAUGAUCUCCCUCUUGGCGUGAUCUCCAGACAUCACUUCGAGUUUGUUAGACUCUUAAUGAAGUACUGCCUCUAAUACCAAUUGAUAGUCGCCUAGAGGGGGGUGAAUAGGCGAAACCUGAAAUUUAUAAACUUAAACUUGCACUAAGGUCGGGGUUAGCGUUAGAAUUAAAUUCGAGUGCGGAAAUAUGUUUCUCUUGCUAUGAGUUGCUCAAUUAAUGCGGAUGACGUUUGGGAGCAAACUCAAAUCAAUACUAGCAAAGAAACUUUAGAAAGAGGAAAGAGGGCAAACAAAUCAAGCGAAGAUCAAUGCAAGUGAACACGGUGAUUUGUUUUACCGAGGUUCGGUUCCAAAGAACCUAGUCCCCGUUGAGGAGACCACAAAGGCCGGGUCUAUUCCAACCCCUUUCGUCUCUCAAACGGUCACUUAGACCGGAUGAGCUUUCUCCUUAAUCACUUGGGUCAAUAAGACCCCGCAAGGAUCACCACACACUUAGGUGUCUCUUGCUAGCUUUACAAAGCACUUAUGAGAAUAAGAAUAGAGGAGGACAAAGCAAUCCAAGCAACAAGAGCAACAAAUGAACACAAAACUCUUUCUCUCAAGUCACUAAGUGGAUGAGUUGAUUUUGAGGCUUGGGGAGGAUUUGAUCUUUGGAAUGUGUCUUGGAGUGAAUGCUAUUGCUCUUGUAUUGAAUAGGAACUUUAGAAAACUUGGAUGCCAUUGAAGGAGGUGGUUGGGGGUUAUUUAUAGCCUCCAACCACUUCCUAGCUGUUGGUUGUUUUUGCUGGCGAUGGGCAUACCGAACAGUCCGGUGGCGCACCAGACAUGUACUGUUCACUGUCCAGUGUGCGCCAUGUCAGCACGCUCGUUGGGGUUUGGAGCGGUCGACCGUUGGAACCCUCUGCCCUCUAGCGGCACCGGACUGUCUGGUGGCACACCGGACAUGUCUGGUGCGUUCUGACUUCGCCACCUGACAUCUGCCCGCGCACUGUUCGCUUUUACUGUUCACUGCAGUCGACCGUUGGCGCUAGGUUACCGUUGCUCCGUUGGCUCACCGGACAUGUCCGGUGCACACCGGACAGUCCGAUGAAUUAUAGCGGAGUGCGCCAAGAAGAAACCCGAGAGUGAGGUGUUCGAGAGCUGCUCGGCCUGGUGCACCGGACACUGUCCGGUGCGCCACUUGCAGCACACUCUCAAUUCCUUUGCUCCAAAUCUAUUUGAGUCCCCAACUUAAUUUCUUUCUUGGUCUGUGUUGAACUUUAUGCACCUGAGAUAAAUGACGUCUAGACAAACUAGUUAGUCCACGUGGUUUGUGAUGGACGUAAACCACCAAAAUCGAUUAUAGGAAAUGAUUAAGCCCAUUUUCCUUUCAGAAAGGAAAGGAGUUUAAGUGGUCUCGUGAAUGUCAAGAUAGUUUCAAUCAACUGAAGUCAAAAUUGAUGUCACCCAGUGUUGGUUAUGCAUCUGCAGAAGAGAUUUGACAUAUAUUGUGAUGUGUGACGCUAGGGCCUGGGAUGUGUUCUUAUUCAAGAAGGACAUGUCAUCGCCUACACGUCUCGUCAGUUGCAGAAACAUGAGCCCCACUCAUGACUCAGAACUAGCAGCCAUAGUGCAUGCUCUCAAGAUUUUGAUGCAUUAUAUAAUGGGACUAAGUGCCAAGUCUACACUGAUCAUGAGAGCUUAAUGUAUAUCUUCACCCAGAAAGAUCUCAACCUCAGGCUUGGUUGGAGCUCAUUAAAGAUUACGACUUGGAGAUUCACUAUCAUCCGGGCAAGGCGAAUUUGGUUGCGAACGUCUUGAGUCGGAAGGAGCAUGUUCAUGCAGCUAUUGUUGCCCAGUUACCCAAUGAAUUAGUAGAAGAUUUUAAAAGACUCAAUCUGAGAAUGGUUGUAGACACAAUUAUUUUUCAACAAUUCGAUAGCAUAAUUAAUCAAAUUUCUUCCCAAUUCACUAUCAUACACAAUUAGAACUUAAAGAAUUAUGCGCAUGCUAGCCACGGUUAGGGGCACUAAAGCUAGAAGGGCUAGCCGCUAGCGGUGUUGCGGCCUAUGGGACUUGGAAGGGGCCACGGGGCACAGCGUAGAAAGCCACCAAGGCUAGAAGGGGUGGUCAAUAGUGGGGAAUUGUGAGCGUUAGGCGUGGAGUUUAUGGUGUUAGGAUUUAUUCUUUGCUAUGUAAUAUGGGUUAGGCCAAAAAAAUACACUAUGGGUAAAUUUUGGAUAUCCAACGAAUAACCCAUGGAUGGAAGGUGAUCUCCUAAUAUGUGUUCAACGACUUCGGAGCGGAUUCAGGUCUAACCCAGAUCAAAUCAUGUAUCCAUAUUCAGUUCCAUCGGGUUGAAUAUUCAGGGUUAAAUUGCCAUCCCUAGAAUGAAUCAAUUGCAACCGUUUUUACACCAUGAGUCCACAAUAUCCAACGAGUGGUUGUCAAACUCCGGAUUGCCCUCUUUCCAACGAGUUGAUAUCAAUCACUAGAGUAACAAGCAUAAACACACACUUGACCAAACCAAACCUAAUAAGAAUGGUGAACGCACACUUGCUACACCCUAUGCUAUAGCGAGGUCUCUAAUUUCAUGAUUGUCAAAUUCAAACAGACAAAGGUUCUCUUUUAACUAUUGCAUGCACAUUUACCUCCUGCACAAGGCAUAUUCAUUGCACGGCCCCUCAGCUAGUUCAGGAACUAGCCGUUCCAUGCUAUUGACUCAUUUGUACGAUGCAUGUCAAGUUUAUUCCAGUUUCGGCAAGCUACAUGCCAAGUUUAUUCCAAACCAACAGCAAAAACACCUGACAGUCAGCAAUUCAAACAAAAUGGGACCUCAAGAUACCAUGGACUACCUAAGGAACCAAAUGCAGAUAAUGCACUGCUGAACCACCAACACGGAUAGAACUUUCUUAGAUCUUAUAAUAUUUGGCAGGAAGACUUCAAUCACAAUGAAACGUUCGCUACUGGUACAAAACUCAGAAGUACAAGAACACAGACAAAACAGCUUCCUACGAACUCCAAAACUAGAAACUUAGAAUACCAUCUCAUGGGGCUUGUCACCAUCCCUGAGAGAGAACCGGGCGCCAAGAUAGGUUUUCAGCUCCAGGACAGCCUCGAUAGCCUUGAUCAGAGCAGAAUCCACAGCCUUCUGGUCAUCCUUCUUGAAGUCAGGCAGUGACUUGGAUGCCUGCAGAUUCAACAGAUAUGAAGCAAGGGUCGACAAAAUAAUGGAUCUUUUUUACUCAGACACCUACCUCCUUUUCUGUCUCAAAAAGCUCGCCCUCGGUCUUCUUCACCUUCUGCUUCUUCUCCCUGGCAAAGUACUUGUCAUCAAACUUGGCGACAUCAACACCAGAGAUGUCAACUUUGGUUGAUGUAGCAAUGACAUAGGUCUGGUUCACACGGCGGAUCGGUACUCCAUUGAUCUUGAAAGGCCCUGAAAGAUAACAGAAACGCAAACUAAUGACAGGAAAAGAAUAUCAAGUAGAACAGGAUAGGAAAAAAUACAACUCUUUUGAAUGCAUGAAGAGAAAGCCAUGCAGCUAGACAGGAAGGAGGGUAAGGUUGUAACGGUGAACAGAAGCAUUCUAUCAACUUUAACUAAAAGUAAAGGGCAGACCCAGUGCCAGAGGCCCACAUGAGUGGAGUUGAGGAAGGGAUAAACGGAAGCAAGCCUUACCACUGCAAAUGCACAGA
rnacentral:lncRNA from 1 species